rnacentral:lncRNA from 1 species
CACCACCACCCUCUACUUAUUUUGCCUUAUCAUUACGGAUGUUAAAUGUCGAGUCUUGUACACCGUCUGGCUCGGCUAGACUCACCAUGCAAGCUAGAUUGCAAAUGCAUAGGCAAGCCAAGCCGGCUCCUAUCAACCGAAAAAUUACAUUUUCACUCCUCUAUGUCAAAUCGAGUGGCUCAUUCAAGAUUUUCACAGUUCAACUUGCAUCGUGAUUCACCUCAAACAUGAACUGAUCUAACUCAGCUCAUUUGUGAGCGUGCCAAGUUGAACCGACGAGCAACUCGAUAUGCUUAACACAACUACCAUCACUUACAAGAUCACGAUGAAAAGUCUGUAUGUGGCCCAUUUUUAUAAAGAACAGGUGUUCCAAACAGAAAAGGGGAGAAGAGGAAAGCACAUGGGUGGUAAUAAGUUCAAGAAAAUCCACGUGAUCACAUGUGCUGCCUUCGUUAUUAUUAUUAUUUUUUUUUUGACAAUGGGACCCCUUUUUACAACCUGCGACCCUAUCGGCCGGUUUUCCCUACACCCUAUCGACAAUCUCCGUUCCGUUCUCACUCUCAUUUGCCCGCACGUGUCAUCAACGCUCUUUUCUUAUGGCUAAAGAAAAAAACUCUUAUUUUCUUGAUAAUCAGCUUUUCAUUUGAUUAAGGAAAAAUCAUAGGACCCCAUAGGCUUUUGACGUUGAUUAGGCAGUCCUAUAACAUCAAAUUUACACAAGUAUCUUGCAACUCUAUUAUAUUGACUAAUAUUAAAUUUCAAUUAUAAGUACAAUCCCAUAAGAAUUAAUUCCCGUAUGAUUUUCUUGAAGUCAAUUUUUAUCUCGGACGAUGUCCUUUGAUCCAAUGUUCAAUUGAGUUACUAUACUUUAAUCUUGCGUCAAAAUAAUUUAGCCCCUAUUUGAUUCGCUAUUAUCUAGUCAAAGCAAUGUUUUGAAUAAUAACUUUGAAGAGAAUGCAUUGUUAAAAAGUAGAAAUUUUUUUAAAUUUAUGUGCAAAUUAUUUUAUUGUUUGAAUGUUUAGUUAAAAAUGAGUAUAUAUAAAACAAAGUUUUCAAAUAAUGAUCUUCAAAUAGGGACUUAAUUUUGUUUUAAUUUUCGUCACAUUGUCUGAUGUUACGUGCUGAGGUGGCCAUAAAAAAUGACCCGAAAACAAUGAGGCAAUCGAAAAAUGUACAAAAGUAAAUUAUUUUCAAUCCACGAUUCUAAGACGUAAAAUUGAAGUUUUCAAUUAUAAGUUGGUAAUUAAGUGGUAAAUUAAGCGCGUUUAUGUGAUUCCCACAUAAAUCCGUAAUCAGGGCGUUGGGAAACCAAAUCCCUAAAGUUGGUAGGCCCAGCUGUGUUGGCUUUGACAUUUAUACGACUCAAAAUACAUUAAUUUAACACCAUGCACCACCUCUACGACCACCAACGCCACCUCCUCCUCCUCUCUACAAUUUCAUGGAAAGUUCUAAUAGCAAUAUUAGUAAUUGUGCAGCAGAACCAGAAACCAUAGCCACAUUAUCAAGAAAGGAACAGACAAAUCAAGAAAUGGUUCAAGAAUCUAACAAAUCCACCAUCCGCCGCAUGCGGCAACCGGAUGGCCAUAGAAGAAGCACAACAAACGAAACCCAGGUGAAAAUCAUCUGUGCCGGCGACGAAGAAAGUAGUGGUGGCGGAGAAGACUCCGAUGAGAAAGCUGAGGUUGAGAAAAAGAUCGUGGCUUUGCAGAAAAUAGUGCCGGGAGGAGAGUCGCUUUUUGCAGACAAACUGUUUGAAGAAACUGCUGAAUACAUAUUGACGUUGCAAGAUCAAAUUAAAGUCUUGAGAUUUUUUGCUUCAUUUGUUGAAGGUCCUGAGAUAGAGAAGAGAAAGCUUGGUGGUUAGCAAUGGUAUUAGCGGCAUCUCGAAAAUGUUCGGACGGAAAUAUGGCUUUUAAAUUAAGCUACGAAUUAAGUCGAUGCUGUCAAAGGGAGUCACGAUGCCAUGUGCAAAAGGAAAAGACUUGUAAAACGGUUCUUGAUGCUUUCAUGUUUAUUUCUUGUUCUUUCUUCAAAUUUUUUCUCUUGAUUUUCUUUUUUUUUUUUUUGGGUAUUAGGGUCAAGAUUUAGCUUUUUUUGAUAAUUUUUUUAAGUUAAAUGUUUAAUUUGGAUAAAUUUCCUUUAAGGGAGAUGUAGAAUUGUGAUUAAUUGCUUAGUUCAUGCUAUUGCUUUGAAGCAAUGUUUGUAGGAUUUUUUUAUUUUUUUUCCUCUUGAAUGCAUCUAGCUAUUUUGCGUUCUCAGGGCAUGUUUGAUGUAUGAUAUUUUAGCCCCGUUUGUUUCUCAUUUUUUGCUUGUUAAAAUGAAAAAUAUGACCGUUAUCCAUCACGUCAAACCACCAUUUUUGACUUCUAUAUUUUGUAUGGGACUCGUAACGGCUAUAUUUUUUAUUCUCAUUUUUACAUUAAUGUGUACCAAACGAAGCCCUUUGAGAAUAAAUUUUGUGAAAAGUCUUUUUUUUUGUUGGGGGCGGGGGGAAUGCAUGCUUAAAAAUGAUAGAGAAAAGAUUUGCAUUAAUGCUAAAAAUUAUUUUAUUAAGAAAAUGUAUGAUAGAAAAUGAUUUUGAGAAAAAAUAAAUUUUAGAAAAUCUGUAUCGGACGUGACAAAAAAAUCUUGUAAUAUCAGUUGCCAAUAUCCUUUGGAGUUUUGUUACCACUAUUUCAAUGUACGGAAUUGUUCUACAAUAUCUAUGUAGUCUUGAUUAAAAAAAAAAAUAAUAAUAGAGAGAGAGAGAGAAAAUCAUUAAUUUUAUUCUUUAUUCAUGUUACGUUGGAUCCUCUAUUUCACUGUAAUAAUAAAAUUUCAAUAUAUGAAGUAAAGUGUUUGGCUAUGUUCGGAGGCUGAAUUUAGACUAUGAUGGAUUUUUGUAGGACUUAAUUCCUUUUUUAAGUUUGAGUGGGCAAGCAUUACGAUAGGUAUUGGUCUUCAAGACAAGAAAAUAUUAUUAUGUCAAACAAAAAUUCCCACUCUUCAACGUACAUGUCUAAAUUGCGACUAAUAGCAGAUUUUAGAUUUGGAAUUUGGGGGUAAUGCUGCGUGGUGGUGGAUUUUAGAUUUGAGUAGAGUAAAAGAAACAGCUAUGGCAAAGUUGAUAGUCAUCGUGACGACAUGUGGUGGAAGAUUGUGCUACGCUUACCCAACAAUUUAUAUAAUGGUGUACCAACAGAUGAUAUGAAGGGAUUUAAUUGGAUCAAAAUUUCAUCAAUCAAAUAACUUUCGCACUUACAUGUUGAUACCUCAUCAUUAUGUAAAAUAUUAUAUAAAUAGUUAUGUAGAAGAAAUAUUUUCCUUAAAAAGAAUGGAAAGUAUUUGUGGAACUGCCUUUAUAGACCAAAGGGAACUUCCCUGCAAUCCAAGUAAGACAAUAAUUAGGAGGGUAUUUCUAUUUACACCAUAAUUUGAAGUGUUCCUUGAAAACGUAACUCAAAACAUAUUAUUUGGGACAUUUAGUGAAAGAUUUAUGUCAGACGCGUCUCUAGGCGUUAGUCUAAAAUAGGUUUGUAGAAUAACUAAUGCUACUCAAACAGGGGGCUGUGACAGAGAUUUCAACAGGGGCUAAGGUGCGUAGCAUAUUUCUUGUAAAAUGACUACACUAGCUUCAAUGCCUUCCAUCCGUCUAUAAGAAUCUCUUUUGCCGAUCUAAUUAUCAUGUAUUGAAUAAUGCUCCUCGAAGGGAACUUCCCUGCAAUCCAAAUGAAUUGCCAUUUGAGCCAAGGAAUAGACUUCGACGAAAAUGCAUCAAUUCUUGUUGAGUGACCAGCUUAUUGGGAUGUAUAACACCAGAGUCCUACUCACCAACGGCAUAGAUUGCAUUUAAAGUGAAGCUUUUAGAAUUUUUGGUAGAAAAAGAUCACAAAUGUUGUUUGGUUGUUCCUGCAUAAGAUUAUACAACAUACUUUUGCUGAUUUGCUUCUGAUUCUCGGAGUUCAUGUCAUUUGUCUAGGUAACUUUCCUGAACACAUUCAUGGUACGAGUUCAUUAGGAGAAAGAAAGUUCUCAUUCUAGUUAUAGUUGUUGUAGGUUAUCCAAGUUGCAGCUCCAAUGAUGAACUAGGUAGACUGUGACCUUGGCUACAAAAUUUGUUAUGAUUGUGUUGGGGAAUUGUCAACGACCUUAUCUGAUAAAGCUCCUGUUUGGUCCUUAUUUUUUUUCUCAAACUCAUUUUAAAUUAUUCAUUUUAUGAAACCCACAAUUUUUAUCAACUUUUUAACCAUACAUUAGUUCAGUUUUCAUUGAAAUUUACUAAAAAUCUGAUUUUAAUCAAGAUCAAACAGGGGCAAAAUUUGUGGCAUUUGCUUUUCCCAUCCUCAUAGAGUCAUAAGCUUUGAGGAGGAACAAUCUUCUAGUGGAAGAAUUCAUUUAAAUUUGAGUCGUAAGUGUUUGUUAUAUGGUAUAAUUUCUGCGGGGUUGGUGUGGAUGCUAAAUUGUACGUUUUUGUGGGUGGACAAAGAUAAGUUUGUGUAGAGAACUUUGAAUCUCAAUUAAGGAGCUACUAAUAGGCAAACAAAUCUAACGUAUUUUACAUAUUGAUUCGAUUAUUUAGAUCCAUAUACUUUCUUAGAGGAACUUGUAUUGCUUGCAUUCACGAGGGACACCUUGAGGAAAACGUCUCAAGUCUGUGCAGUAAUUGUAGAUCAUGUAGUUCUUUUGCACCCAUUUUAGCUUCUUUCGAUCAUUAACAUCAAGUUCUUGAUACAUCCAUCCAUUGAUGGGCAAGGGUUUGGUAGAAACACAAGAUGUCGAUGGCCAAACGCAAGCAUUGGCAUUGAAGUUCCUAUAUGUAGCCGUAAAAGGUGCUUUUGUCCAGUCGGUCUUAACUUUCCCUCCUUGUGUUGCCCAGUCAUCGGCGUUCCAAAGGCUAGAAUAGAGUCUCAUAGGUUGGCGUUUUGGGUACGGGACACCAAUAGCUUCAUUGUUGUUGAAUACUCUUAUUGGAAUGUUAUCCACCAUGAAGCUGAAAUAUGGACAAGAAAAUGAAGUACAUGUGAGAAAAUCAUAGAUUAAAAUAUAUAUUGUUGUCACUUUUAGCAUUGACUGAAUUAAAGACCAAAGAGUUUCAUGUACAUAAUGCGCCGAGGAUUCCAGAUAAUGGAGUACUGGUGGAAGGCAAUUGAAGGGUUGAACCACAGAUGAAAUUGUUGUUCUCUGUUCCCUUUACCCUGUGUAUAUAUAUUUGUAUGGACUGUGUAAGGUUGUCCUGAUGAGUUUCCCAAGAACUCAAAAUCAAUUUCGUCGUGUGCUGUUCCUUGAGAAGAUAACUACAUGAAAAAGGCGAAUUUAGAGUGUCAAAUAUCAUUUACCGUGCGUGAAUAAACAAUACUAAGUUUUGAGUUUCAUACAUAGUACGUAGUUACAGUUCCAGCUGAAUUUCCAGGUACAAGUUUGAGUUGCAUAUCAACCCUGCCGAAUAAAUAUUGAUUCUUGGACUGAAAACCUGAGCCUGAAAACUUGUCCAGUGACAGAGUAAGAAGUUGGCCUCCAUCGAGUAUCUUAGCUCGUUGACCACCCCAAGUGACGUCUAUAUGUUGGUAGAAAUUUCCGGCCGAAGCAGUCAUAAGAUAAGCUACGACUAGAGAAAGUAGAAAAAUAUUCGUGACCAUUUGAGAAGAUAGCGACAUAUUCUUAUUCAAGUAUAUAUAUUGCUACAAAACUAGGAAAUGUGAUAUCUGAAUUUGCUGAUGCAAGUUUGAAAUGCUUUAUAUAGGCAGCAAGAAGCUGUUAGGAAAGUGAAAUUCAAGUUGCGUUUUCUCAAGUUGUUUUUGAUACUAAAGGCAUUAGCUGGCAAUUGUGAGUUCCUUCAAAACUGGUGGCUUUGGUUAGGUUCUCUUUGAAAUCUGAUUGUCUGCCACUUUUGAUACUCUUAUUCUCGCUUUCUCAUAACACACUCACAAUUCUUUCAAUUACUCGAUUCACUUUUCCGCUCUCAUAAUAUUCGACUUAAUUUCAUUCUUAAUCUUGUUAACCAUUCCAUAUAAAAGUCGCAAAGUCACGUGCACUAAUUUAAAUAUUGUCUUCAAUACAUCUUUUCACAUGUAGACUGAAUUGUGACCGUCAUGUUAUGAGCAACUAUGUUACUUAUUUUAGUACAAUAAUUAAUUAACUAGGCUUUAAAUAGUUAGCCUGAAAACACACACACACACACACACAUAUAUAUAUAUAUAUAUGUGCAUAAUGUGCACCAGGUAAUGUACAACUGGCUAAUUUAUUUGCCUAGUUGGAAUGUGAGAAAUAACAAAAUAUAUGUAUGUGGCCCUUCCCCUUUUAGGCCUCCCCUAGUACAAUUUGACAAGGCACACGUGAGUUUAUGUAAUAUAUAAAGGGUCAAUUUGAAGGGAUUUCUGCGUUUUGUAAAAGAAUUUCUAGAUUUUACCUGAACAAAGUGCUUUCAGAAAAUUACUCGAACACGUUCAAAAGUAGUUAUUAAUUUUAUAAACAUCUUUUUACUUUAUAAAAGCCAUGUCAAUAAAAUUACGUAGAACUUUUCAAAUUCUUGGCAACUUCGAUGGUCACGUGAAAUUGUAGUUGUAAAUAUUUUUUGGCUAACGAUGAGAGGAUGCAGUUAACGUCAGACCAGAUGCAUCCUGUCACAGGCUUCCCACAUAGUCAAAACCUUUUGGAGAUUAGUCUCUUGGCCUUAUCCUGUAGUAAGGGAUUUUAAUAAAUGCACCAAAAGGAAAACGUUUUUGUAGUAGAGUUCUAAAAUAAUUACGUAAAAACAUUUUAGAGUAAUAGCGACUUUCUUUUUAUAAAUAGAUAGUCGAAUCUCGACUAUAAAUUAUUAAGAAUGAUCAAAAUUUUUUGUGAUUUCUGCUUUAAAAUUUGAGCUCGUGGAUCAUGUGUUUCUAUCUAAUAUUACGUACUAAACAUGUCUUUCUACCGUCGAGAAUUUUGGAAUUUUAUAAGCAUAAAGCACGAGUAUAUUGCAUACUAUAUUCCCAACUCUUUACAGUUGUUUAUUACCAGGCAUCCUCCACUUUUGGUUACCUUUCUCAUCUCCAAGUGGGUAUUAACUUUUUAUCAAAUUUUUUAAAAAAAUAAAAAAAUUGCCACUAGAAACCUGAAAACAGUAACUAGUGGCCUGAGUUUGUAGUUGAUUUUGAUCAUUUUAAUACAAGUUAUAUUAACAGAUUUGUGACUAAACAAUCAUUGAUAAUUGUUAAGAGCAGGUUCAACUCGUUAAAUGAUUUUACAACAAAAAUCGCAGAAUAUAAAUGUCCAAGAAACAAAAGAAAAGGAAAAAAACACAAAAUUUUUCACCCUAAGAUAAGAGGUUCAGAGCAAGCUCCUAAUCUCCUUUUGUGUUUCCACCACCGGAAGAAAUUAUUGCAUUAAUCCAGAACCAAUAAACUAUCCAAAUAUUACACAUUCAAGACUCAAACCAGAAAACAUUCGAGAUUACAAAAAGCUCUCACAAAUCGCCUGGACAAUUCACUCAAGAACCCCAGACUUGAAAUCUACUAGUAUACUAAUCACUCAAGACAAAUGAUAGGUUCCACAUCACUCAAAACGCAGUCAGCAAUAGGUUCCACAUCAUUGUGCCAUCUCCUCACAAUAAUAGUCAUUGUAAAGGUAUAUAUGCAUAAAACAAUAACAUAAGGCACGGAAAAUGAGUUGGUGAAGAACUAUCACCUGUACCAAGGGAAAUUCCUUUUGGCGAUUUUUGCAAAUGAAGGUCUUUAUCUUGCAUUUUUUUAUUGUAAAUGUACAAUAUCAUAACAAGUAAUAUAAUGGACUUUUGAGUCUAGAUUAGUGUUCCUACGAGGACUAUACUUCAUAUUUAAUUUACUAUUUGUAACUUCUAUUUGACGAAAAUAAACAAAAGUUGUAAUUUAUUGUGAUUUUUUAUCUAACUACGUGAAAAUAGGAGAAAGUACACAAAGAUCGAUUUAGAAUUCAAAUAUGGAAUGGAUAUUAGGGCAUAACAAUUUCAUCUAUUUAUCACAUUUAAGUCUUAAUUCAAGAUUCAUAAAUCUAAUGUAGUAUUCGAUCGAAUUUCUCUAUUAUAUUUAAUUUGCUCAUCUCGAGUUCUCAUUGAGUCUAUUUAAAUUGUGAAACGGAUUACCAUAUAUUGUGCGUAAUCAUGAACGAGUUAUAGUCGCAUGCUUUUGAGUAAUCCCAUAUCUCUAGAAUAUUGAAUAAAAGAAAUAAACGGUCUCAAAAGAUUACACUUUUUGCCAUAAUGAAAGAAUUAGCUACUCAUAAUAAUAGAAAAAAGAUAAAAGAUUUGCAUUGAAUACAUCACUGGAUUUUGAAUUGAGAUGUAAAGAAGUGGACGAAUCUUGUACAAAGUUCAUCUUCUUGUUCCAAACCUUGAUUCGUAACCUUUGAUUUCAUGUUUUUCUCCUUUAAUUUUUCUCUAUAAGUCUCCAAGCUGUGUUCUAUAUCUCUCAAUGUGUGGAACUACCCUCAAGUACUACAUUUUUUGCAUUUAUAGUUGCUUACAAGGUUUUCCCCGAAUUUAGAGUUUUUAUGGGCAUUAAAAAGGCCAAAAUCCACGCCCUAGGUAUGCAUGUGGCACCGCGGUGACACAACUCUGUACUGAGCAAUUGCGCCACCUUUUGGGUAAAAAUAAGCACUACGCAUCUUUCAAUAUUUUUAUCAUAAUUUUCUCUCUAAAUAUCUUAUUGAGGCAAUUCAAAUUGGGUUGUAAAGAUAACUCAAAUAACUAUAAGUUUAUUAGAAUUAGAUCUUUUCCAAUUCGAAUAAGAUCUGGCUAAAAAUUUGGAACAUCAUUAUGUGGUUAAAAUUUGAUUUGUGAAAAUAUUUUGGUCAUUUUCGCUCAUUUUGACUUCUAAUUGCAUCUAAUUGACCCCUAACAUUCUGAAUCUUUAUAGUGAAGUUUGAUAUAACUUGAGCAUUUACACUUUAGUCCACAAACUUUGGACCUUGUCCUUUUUCUUCUCCUUCUGCAUUAAUUAAAACCACAUCACCAAACCUAUAAUACAACACUAAUAAAAGCGUUGAAAACUUUCAAUACUAUAAAAUCUAGCUACCAAUCAAGUUAAAAUAGUAUAAAACUCGUGAGUUAAACACACGCAUCAAUCUACUUUUGCUAAUGGAUAUUCCAUUUUUCUUUAUUAUCAACUGAUAAAUUAUCUGCUGAUGAAAAGUUAAUUUUUAGCAAUGUUUGGACAUUUAAUUAUGGGACAUUAUCUCACUAUCAGACCUUCCACGACAUCAACUUAACGAGCCACAAACUCAUCCUUCAUUAUAAUAAGGCUAUCCAUGUUUGCUUCUGGUUUCUCCAUUAGAUCAUGCAAAUGAUAGUGCCAGGAAUAGCAUAUGUUGUGCUUUUGAGACAUUCUCGACUCUUACGAUAUAAAAUAAGUUUGGUUAUUCGUACAUUGUCGCAAGAAAUGGUGUUUGGUUAUUUGUACAUUGUCACAAGAAAUGGUGCAUGUUUCAUCUCUUCCCACUAGUGGAGAAUGUAGUUCGGCUUAGAACAUCAAAACUUUUGACAUCUGCAAAUAUCGCACAUCUGAGUAAUUGAUUGGGAAUUCAUGUUGCUGACAUUGACGCAAUAUAUAGAAACAUGAACGAUAAUAACAAGGAAUGCCCAUUUGAUAAUCAAAGAUCUAACGUACUACCAUUUGGUUUCGAGGUUCAAAUGUACUGUUAGGAGUUGACAUGUGAGACUUUUGAUUCACGAAUCGGGAACCUAUCUCCACAAGAAACUCCUUAAUUUGUUCCAAUUCAAGGACUUCUCUCGUUCUAUGUUUUCUCCACUGGAGAUGAAAACGAGAUCAAGGGCGGAGCAAGAAAAUGAUGCUAGGAUAGGCUAAAAUUUAAAUUUUUUUGAAUGAACUUACGUCACAAGAAAUCGAGUUUCGGAAUCUAUUUUCAUAACAUUCACCAUAAAAAGUAUACGACACUCAAUAAAAUAAAAUAAAUUUUGGAUAUCUCACAUCUUAAUAUUCCACUAAAUCUUUGUAUUUUUUUAUCAAAUAGAAAAUCAACACUAACCUUAAAAAAUAUAAACUAACCAAAUUAUAAUAUAAAUAAGCAAAAAUACAUAUCCACCAACGAAAAUUUAAAAAAUUACUCAAUGAGUACUCUUCUAAUAACUUUGACAAUAAAUCUUUCCAAACAGCUGAAAGUUUGUACAAAUAUUCUUUUUAUUGUCAAUAUCAAAUCUGUAGUAAGUCAUUUAUUUUGAUCAUAACAUCUAUUUUUGGUCAAAAUAAGUAUUUUUUUUUUAUAAAUAUUAAUUAGUAAUAAAUAAAAUCAUAUGUAGUAAUAAAAAAAAUUAAUUAAUUUUAUAUUUAGAAAAAUAUGUAGUGUCUCUAUCUAUUAAAAGAAGUAAUUUACUUUUAGAUCUAAUCAAUAGAAAUUAUCUAUAAUAAAAUUUACUUAAUAGUUAUAAGUAAAUUUUAGUCAAAUAUGCAUUAAAUACAAUAUCUAAUUUGACAAUAAAAUAUUCAUAUUUCAUGAAUGCCAUGAAAAGAGUAAUUAAUAAUUAUAGUGUCUUUAAUUCAAUUUGAACAUUUGAGCAUUGGAAUAGGAUUGAGAUUUAAACUAGAGCUGGGCUAAUGUUAAUAUUUGGCCCAAAAGUCUACAAUUCUUCUUAAAUAUUUAUAUGGGCUGGGGGGGACAAUGCUGGGCUACAGCUCAAGAAUGCCCCCCUCUAUCUCCGCCUUUGGACGAGAUAAACUUAAGUUGCCAUCCUCUCACAUCCUGCAUUAGAGCCAAAGAAGCAUCGACCCAGCAUUAAAAAAUGGGCUUUAUUCACUCGUUGUGCUCGGCUAGUUCUCAUUUCUCAUCUCGAACCAGAAAAACUCAGAACAUUAGGAAGAUAAGGGAAGAUCACUUGAAAGAACCGACUACCACAACUCCAUUAUAUUUAUUUAUUUAUUUAUUUUUGCUGGAAAAAGCCACUUAACGAUUUUGCCUAAAACCCCCCAAAUUGUUCACCUCUCAUUACAUUUGAUUUUUGAUCAUCAAGUUCGCGUGAAGAACUGCUAAAAAUUUUAUUAAUAAAAAACAUCAAGAAUAAAUCAAGCAUUUUUUCCUUUUAUUCCAAUCAAUACAUUCUCACUGGACUAAAACGAAUAAGAAAUGAAGAAUUCAAAUAAAUACAGAAUUAAUCACACAACAAUAAUGAAACAAGGGAUCGCUUCUCCACAAUUUUCCUAGAAUCUUGAACGCUUGCAUUCUUCAGAGAAGCCUUGAGGAAACCUUUGAACAUCUGCACAAUAGUUAUAGACCAUGUGGUUCUGUUGUACCCAACGGAGCCUAUUUCUUCCCUUCGCAUCAAGUUCCUGAGUUUGCCAUUCCCUGGAAUUGGCACAAGAUCCACCAGAUGUUUUUGAUACACAACCAUUAGCAUUGAAGUUCCUGUAAUAUGCAGUGAAAGGUGCUUUUGUCCAGUCUGUCUUCACCCUCCCACCUUGGGUUGCCCAAUCGUCUGCGUUCCACAAGCUGCAGUGUACUCUCAUGGGUUGGCUACUAGGAAAUGGAAUGCCAAUUGCUUCGUGAUUGUUGAAUACUCUGAUAGGACUAUUGUCCACCAAGAAACUGAAAUUCAACAAGAGAAUUAGUAUUAAUUUUCAGAAUAGUUUGAGGAUUAACGAAACUGAUUUGAGGAAUUUUCAAUUACAUGAUGCGCCGAUGAUUCCACACAAUUGAGUAGGUGUGGAAAGAUGCCGUUGGAUCAAACCAAAGAUGGAAUUGUUGUUCCUUGUUUCCUUUUCCAUGAGAAUACACAUUGGUAUGAACAGUGUAUGGCUGUCCAGAUGCAUUGCCAAGAAACUCAAAAUCGAUUUCAUCAUGACCAGCUCCUUGGGACGAUAAGUGGAAAUGGAAUGAAACAACUUAACGAUUAAUUAUACAACAAAAAAUUUAAUAAUUGUUUAAGUAAGUUUGGUGUCAGCUCCUGAAGAAGAACUGAUGAAGACUUACGAAAAAUGUGGUUACGGUUCCAGCAGAGUUUCCAGGAACAAGUUUGAGUUGCAUAUCAAACCUUCCAAACAAGUACUCAUUCUUUGACUGAAAUCCAGAACCGGAAUUUUGGUCUAGUGAAAGUGUCAACAUUCUUCCACCUUCGACUAUCUUCCCGCGCCCAUCACCCCAAGUAAUUUCAGCAUCUCUGAUGAAAUUACCAGCUAUAGGAAUAGUGAAACAGGCCAAGACCAAAGAAAGUGAAAGCAUGACUAAAUUUGCAAAAGCUUUAGAAUUAGAAAAGACUGCCAUUUUGAGAAGAAGAAAGAGAAGACUGUUUUUGACGAAUAAAAGCUGGGUUCAGAAAGCCCUUUAUAUAUCAUUUUACAAUCGUUUUUGGAGGUGGAGUGGGGCUGGGGGCUGGAAACUAAGCUGGACACCAUGGACUGAAAGUUGCCAAAGAUUAAUUGAACAAAAUGAAGACAGAAUAAUUUUUCCGCGUAAAGUAUGAACCUUUAAUUAUCUCUGGCAUGGGUCCAACCGACAUCUGUAUGUACCAACCAACACUCAUGAAAAUAAUUAAUAUGCAGCUUAACCAAAAAUUAGAAUACAAAAUUAAAUAUUGCAGAUGAUUCUUAAAACUCAUUGUGCAGCAUAAUUGUCUUUUUAUAAAGAUUAAUAAUUUUGUAGGGCUCAUAUUUAUUACUUUCAUAAGAUUCCAUGCACCUUCUUGCCGAGGUAAUCCUGAAAACAGCAAGGUAUAUAUGAUGAUAUUCUUAGGUAAAAUUGCAAAAAAAUUUGGAUCUCUUACGUUUUGGUCAUUUCAUCCAAUUUCGCUAGCUUUUGCCUAUUUCCUUCCUUUAACCUCUUUUAGCUCUUGUUUUCUCCACUUACAUCAAUCUACAAAACAACACCAAAAUCACUUGUUAGCACUUCUAAAAUGCUCUCCAAAAUAGCAAAAUUAUGAAAUUAAUGGCAUAAUAUAAUGAGUUUAAAUCACUCAUCAGUGACAUUUUCUAUCAUUGAUGACGAAAAAAAUUUUAGAAAGAAAUCGUUGGUGUAGUUGCAAUAAUUGUGGAUUAUGAUUUCUAUGAAUACACUUGUACGAAUACUAUUUGCAAACCUUGAGAGGGGUAGAGUAGAUAAGCGGUGGCAAAAUGGGCCUAGUCAUGCGUUCGAGGUGUAGUGGUGAUAAAAUGGGUUGGAUUGAGUUCUUUUGCGACAAUGCAUGUAUCAAAUUGUACAAACAAAUAUGUCGAGAAAAAUAAUUAACAGGAAGUAGGACUGCUUAUUAUUAUUAUUAUUUUAGCUGCAUAAAAGAAUAAGUGUAGGUUGAAGACUUUCUACGACUUGUGGAACUCCUAGAACUCACCUUUGGCCUUUACCCACAACCAAGCUUUAUGCGGCGUGCCGAGACAGCUGCUCUUGACCAUGCCUGGACACCCAAACCAGAAAUUAAGUAUGAUAGGAAAAACAUAGGUAGAUUAAUGUGUGUUUUCUGGCAAGUUGAAGAAUGAGAAUUGCUUGUCUUCGGCUGUCUUUAUUCGAAAUUUCCUCAAUUGCUAUAUUUGAUAGUGUGAGUGAAUUAGUUGACAUAUCUAGGGAUGGCAACGGGGUGGGGAUGGGCAAUUUUUAUCCCAUUUAAUUUUAUUAUUAUUAUUAUUAUUAUUAUUAUUAUUAUUAUUUUUUUUUUUUUUACAUUUUCAAAGUUUCAAGUUAUGUUAUUAUUAGAGAAUAAAAUACAAAUUCAAAAUGAGUUUUUAAUGGGUGAAUUGUCUAAAAAUAAAAUUAUUUUUAAUCUCCCCCCCCCCCCUUCAUGGGGCGGGUUCGGGUCUUUCGGUGUGGGGUUUUUUCCCCCAUUCGGGACGAGUUUUUUUCCCAUCACUAGACAUAUCAAACCUUAUGUGUUGCUUAGUGUUAGAGUAAGGUGACUUGAAUUCUGUUUGACACAGUGAAGCUCUCGGUGCAAAUACGUAGUGAAACUAAAUUUAUGAGGAAAAAAUGGGGUCUAGGGUAGAAGCGGAGCCCCACACUAUGGACUAUGUAUAUUAGGAUUUCAUAAUAUCAUAACAUUCGAAAGUAGUAGCACUACUUAUAAUCAUCUUUGGUAUAGUGAAUUUCCCCCGUAAUUUUUUCAUAUCUUGGAUUUUCAUGUAAAUCUCGUGUUUUUGUUCUUAAUUUUAUAUUGCAAAUUCUCGCUUUUCAUAACAAUUAGAUUGAUGAAAGAGUUGACAACUCCAAAGCAUAAUCCAUGUAAUUGCUCUAGGUAGUGGGAAACAGAAAAUAAGAAAUAGCACAAGAUUGAUAGUCUCUCCCUCUUCGCAUUAAGUGCAUCAAAUUUGUUUCUCAUUAUUACAAUCAAUAGACGACAAUACAUUUGAAUAAACAAAUAUAAGAAUCAAAUAAAUUCUAUAGACAUUUUAAUGACAAAAGAAGUGAAUAUGAAACAGUGCACAAUAUUGUUAGAAUCUUGAACGCUUGCAUUCUGCAGAGAAGCCUUGUGGAAACCUUGUAACAUCAGCGCAGUAGUUAUAAAUCAUGUGCUUUUGUUGUACCCAACGAAGUCUAUUUCUUCCCUUUGCAUCCAAUUCUUGAGUUUGCCAUGUCCCGGAAUUAGAGGAAUCAACGGACUUAGAAGCACAUGAUCCAACGUUCGAUCCAGAUGCACAGAUAUUACCAUUGACAUUGCAAUUCCUGUAAGAGGCAACAAAAGGAGCUUUCGUCCAAUCUGUCUUUAUUCUCCCACCUUGUGUCGCCCAAUCGUCUGCAUUCCAUAAGCUGCAGUAUACUCUCAUGGGCUGGUUUGUUGGGAAUGGAAUGCCAAUUGCUUGGUGGUUGUUGAAUACUCUGAUAGGAAUAUUGUCCACCAAGAAACUGAAAAUCAUCAAGAAGAGAAUUAGCAUGAUAUUCUGAUUGAUUGAGGAUCCGUGAAAAUGAGGUUUGAGGAGUUUGUAUAUUUACAUGAUGCGCUGAGAAUUUCACACGAUUAAGUAGGUGUGGAAAGCUGCAGCUGGAUCGAACCAGAGAUGGAAUUGUUGUUCUUUGUUUCCUUUUCCUUGGGAAUACACAUUGGUAUGAACUGUGUAUGGCUGUCCAGAUGCAUUUCCCAGAAACUCGAAAUCAAUUUCAUCGUGGCCAGGUCCUUGAGAGGCUAGCUGCACAACCAAAUAAACAAUUCAAUCAUGGAUGUAAAGAAAAUUAGAGAGGGGAUAUUCAUAUUCGGGUGCAGAUUACUUACGAAAAAUGUGGUUACAGUUCCAGCAGAGUCGCCAGAAACAAGUUUGAGUUGCAUGUCGAAUCUUCCAAACAGGUAUUCAUUCUUGGAUUGAAAUCCAGAACCGGAAUAUUGGUCGAGGGAGAGUGUUAGAAGCCUGCCACCCUCCUGUAUUUUACCCCGCCCAUCACCCCAGUUUAUAUCAACAUUCCUGUUGAAAUCACCAGCUGAAUGUGUCACAAGAGAUGCCAUGACAAUACAAACUAAAACAACUGCCAGAUUCGACAAAGCUCUUGAGUUAGUAGCCAUUUUUGUUGGCGAAAUAAAAACGUAGAUAGAGAGAGAGAAAGAGAGAGAACGUGUUUUUAUGAUGAAUGAAUUUGGAAAUGAAGUCUCCAUAUAUAUAUAUAUAUAUAUAUAGUUUGAGGGUGGAGUGUUGGGGGUGGGGGUGGGGGUUGACCUUGCUCCCAAGGAAGCUUCCACAAGAGUGAGGACAGUGAAUGUGUGCUGGUAUGGAAUUUUUAUAGGAGUUGGCCUAAGCUGGUUUCAGAAAUACAAGUUUACGCGUAAAUUAUGUCCCUUUGGAAACUUCCCAGGUUGAGACGGCCCAAUUGAUACCUAAAAUUUGUAUAUUAUUUGAAGCAAUAUAUUCAUCAGAAACUCUUUGUUUCCUUGAAAUUUCAUGCUGCCGCUCAAGAUAGUAAUUUACUUUUCCCUAACGUUCCAAAAUAAAUUAAUAAUUUAUUUCAAAACUUACUUUUUCUACAACAAUUAAUUCGUCGCUUGUAAACAAGUAAUGAUAACCGCAUAUUUUAUGAUUUUAAUAGUCGCCAAACUUGAAGGAAAAAUAAAAUAAAAUAAAAUAAUAAUAAUAAAUCCUCCCCCUCUCUAGCUCCUUAGUUUAAGAGAGGUCCCUGAUACAGGAGCCCGUAUCACUAAGCACCGAGCAUGUCUGCCCCCAACCUAUCACAGGGGGCCAAGCUGGCCCCUUAUGAUACAUGGCCCUGUUCUUGCAGCAGGGGCCUUAGUUUAAUUACUCGUUAUUGUUAUGUUUUAAAACUUAAAACAUUUGGAUUGAUCUUGGGAAAAACCAUUAAAGAAUUGCAGAAAUUAAAGAAAAUUAACACAAGAUAUGUUUUGCCCUUUUAAAAGGGCCCGGAUGUUCGGUUUUGCAACCUAAUUACCCGUUGAGCAUCUCUCACGAGAUUAAAUUCUAGAUCCACUAAUAACGAACAAGAACCGUGUACAAAUGUACGAAGAAAUUGGAAAUUUCUUCGAGCUUUUUCUUGCAUCUUGACACAACAACACAACACUGCUAUCACUCUCACAGGUUGCACAAAACAACCAUUUCUUUCUCUACACAAAUAACAGAAUAUUAUCAAUCACAAAGAUCGAUUUCAUCUAACACAGCCAAACCUUAGUUUUCACUCAGAAAACAAAGGACAGAGAGUAAGACGAAGAGACACAAAGAAUUCUCUAGAAUAUGAAUGAAAAAGCCAAGACCCAGUGUGUAAGUAUUUGUAUUCAUCCAAACAAUCAGAGGGCAGAGACUUAGCCACGUGUACGGCUAAUUUUAAUUCUCGAAGAGGCAUUUUGAUCAAAACACGAUUUUAUCAAACUUGAAAUAACCACAGCAAUCCGGUGGAGCAUUUAGCCCAAUUUAAAGAGGCCCACGAAGCCAAGAAUCAUGUGAGGCAACCCACAAAUAAUUAACAAUCUCCACAUUGCUGAACUGAUUCUUAUUCUUUACUAAAGGAUCUAGAUACUACAUCAACUUGAGUUCAUUUGCUCAAAGUACUUGUAAAAUGAAAAAUUAGUUAAACCUUAUCAACAUAAACUUAUUACAAGUUCUGAAUUUAUCAUAUCAUGUGACAUUCAGAAUUUUCAAAUAAUUCUUAAAUUUAUUUAGAGGCAACACCUUAGUGCCCAAGUCAUCAGGAUUAAAUUCUGUGGGAAUUUUAACCAACUUUAUCAAUCAUUUUUCUAUCAUAUUUUGUACAAAAUGAAAUUUUAUGUCUACAUGUUUAGUUCGAUCAUGAUAUAUAGGGUUUUUACUAAGGUGUAUGACACUUUGAUUAUCUGUAUAUAUACUAACAGAAUUGUUUGCAAAACCAAUUUCAUUAAUUAAGCCUCUCAGCCAAAUGUUUUCUUUAACAGCAUCACAUGCUGCAAUGUAUUCUGCUUCUGUAGAAGAUAAGACAACUAAUUUUUGCAACUGUGACUUCCACCUUAUACAGCCAUCACACAAAGUGAAAAUGUAAGAAGAAGUAGAUCUUCUUUUAUCUAAGUCACCAGCAAAAUCUGAGUCUGUAUAUCCUUUCAGUUUUAUCUCUUCAUUGCCCUUUUUGUACAUUAAUCCUAAAUCAGAUGAUCCUUUCAAGUACCUUAACAUCCAUUUCAUGGCAAGCCAAUGUGUUUCACCAGGAUUAGUCAUAAACCUACUUAAUACACUAAUUCCAUAUGCUAGGUCAGGCCUGGUGCAAACCAUGAGGUACAUUGUGGAACCUAUUGUGUUGGCAUAAGGUAUUUUCUCCAUUCUCCUUAGUUCAUCAUCUGUUUUAGGUGAUUGUUCAUUUGACAACUUAAAAUGAUUAGCAAUUGGAAGAGUGACAGGUUUACAUUCUAACAUAGAAAAUUUUUCAAGAAUUUUCUACACAUAGGACCCUUGUUUUAGUGUUAGUAUGUAGUUAUUCCUGUCUCUAUCUAUCUCCAUUCCAAGGAUUCUUUUAGCUUGUCCUAAAUCUUUCAUUUCGAAUUCUGAUUUUAACUUUGAUUUAUCAAAUUCAAUCUCAAUUUUAUCAUAACAAGCAAGCAACAUAUCAUCAACAUAAAAUAGGAGAUAUAUAGAUUCAGCUCCACCUAAACCUUCAUAGAACAAACAUGAAUCAUAGUUGCUUUUCACAAAGCCUAAAGUUUGCACAAAAGAAUUAAAUUUCAAAUACCAUUGUCUAAGGCCUUGUUUAAGCCCAUAAAGUGAUUUCUUUAACAGACAAACUUUAUCUAAUUUAGAUUUUACUUCAAAUCCUUUAGGUUGAUUCAUGUAUAUAAUCUCAUCAAGGUCACCAUUUAGAAAUGUUGUUUUAACAUCAAGUUGUUCUAAUUCCUAGUUAAAGUGAGUAGUUAGAGCCAAUAAGAUUCUGAUUGUAGUAUAUUUGGCAACUAGGGAAAAUAUUUCAUUGUAAUCCACUCCUUCCCUUUGAGUGAAACCUUUGGCCACAAGUCUGGCCUUAUACCUCUUAUUUUCUGUAUUUGAGUCACCUUCUUUUAUUUUAAAAAUCCAUUUACAGUCUACAACCUUUUGAUUUUUAGGUCUAUUAACUAAAAUCCAAGUUUUAUUUUUAACAAGUGAAUCCAUUUCCUCAUUCAUGGCUUCCUUCCAAAGCUUAGAAUCAGGACAUUUAAUGGCUUUAUCAAAGGAUGUAGGUUUUGAAUUUAAAGAAUCAAAAGCAGAAAAUAGAGUGACAAAUUCUUCACUAUUAAACCUGCUGGAGGGAAUUAUAAUUCUUCUUUCCCAAUCUCUAGUUAACUGGUAAUCAGUAAGAGUAUUAUAUGAUAUUUCAACUUCAUUUCAGAUUCAUCAUGCUCAUUACUUAUUUCAGAUUCAACAAGCUCCACCUCAAAAUUAUCAUCUUGAUUUACAGCAUUCUGUGUUUGAGUUUCCAUGAUGGUUUGUUUAACAGGUGCAUAUUCAAGAGUUCUAGGGUCUCCAGAUUUGAUACAAGGCAUGUCAUUUUCAUUAAAAAUUACAUCUCUGCUUAUUAUGACUUUAAAACCAUUUUGUUCUUUAACCCACAGCCUAUAACCUUUUGUUUCCUCCCCAUAUCCCAAGAAAACACAUUUUUGGGAUCUAGGCUCUAGUUUGCCUUCAUUUUUGUGAGAAUAGGCUGCACAUCCAAACACUUUGAGUUUGUUAUAGUCAAGUGUUUUUCCAUACCACAACUUUUCAGGGACUUGACAAUCAAUAGCACUAGAUGGACUUCUAUUUAUUAGAAAAGUUGCAGUAUUUAGGGCUUCACCCCAGAAAAACUUAGGGAGACCAGAACUGUACAACAUGCAUCUAACUUUUUCCGAAAGAGUCUUAUUCAUUCUCUCAGCAACUCCAUUUUGCUGAGGUGUGUAUGUUACAGUUCUAUGUCUAAGAAUUCCAAAUUCUUUACAAAAUUAAUUAAAUUCAAGGUUACAAAAUUUAAGUCCAUUAUCAGUCCUCAGUGCUUUGAUUUUCUUGUUCGUUUGAUUUUCAAUCAUAGACUUCCAUUGUUUGAAAAUCAAAAAAGUAUUAGAAUUUUGUUUUAAGAGAAAAGUCCAUAUUUUUCUUGAAAAGUCAUCUACUAUCAGUAGAUAGAACCUAAAUCCACUAAAUAUAUUUACUGAUGCUGGACCCCACAGAUCAGCAUGUAAGUAAUCCAAGAUUGAAGUGGAUUUAGGGAUUCCAGUUUUAAAAGGCAGUCUUUUCUGUUUUCCAGCAGUACAAUUUUCACAAAAGUCUAAUUUUUCAAUAUUAUCAGUUCCAAAACAUCUAAGUUUGUUUAAAAUGAUUAGACCUUUCUCUAAAAUGUGCCCCAAUCUUUUAUGCCAAAUUAAUGACUUAUCAGAAACAUGAUUUGAGGCCGUGGUACAAUGACUUAUUACUUGUUCAGCAGAAAUUGUAUAAAUGCCAUUUAUUUUUGAAGAGGAAAUAACACAUAUGUUUCCUAAAAAUAAUCUCAGAAGACUCUUGUGUAUAGUGAUGUUAUAUUUUUCAUCCAAUUCUCCCAGGGAGAUUAGAUUCAUUUUCAAUUCAGGAACAUAUCUAGCAUUUUCUAAUUCAAGGGUAUAAUUUUCAGUUAACAUCAAUUUUAUCUUCCCAAUGCCCUUAAUUUGACAACUCAUGUCAUUGCCCAUCUGAAUUUAUCCUCCAUUGAAAUUGAGAAACUCAGAAAACCACUCUUUAGUGGGGCACAUAUGGAAGUUACAACCAGAGUCUAGGACCUAUUCUUUUGAAUCCCUCCUUUAGGUGUUCACAAGAACAACCCCCUGAAUAUCAGUUUCAUUAUUGCAGGCUGCUGUUGCAGAAUCAUCAGUGUUGUUUUUAUCUUUCACAUCUAAGAUUUUCUUAAAGCAAUUCUUUAUCAAGUGUUCAGUUUUGCCACAGUAAUAGCAUUUUCUGAUCUAGUUCUUUGGUUCUACUUGAUUUUUGUUCUUAUCUCUAUUUCUAUUACUCUGAAAUUUUCCUUUCUUGGUUGAAUUAAAGUUGUACUCGAUCUAUUUCUUAUUUUGAUUCAAUUUCUCUUUCAUAUAUAGCCCUUCACCAAACUUAGAGUCUUUUGCCUCGAUUUUCAUUUCAAGUUCCUUAUUUCUAAGGGCUGCAGUUAUGAUAUCUACUGUAAGAGUCUGCUCCCCAUAUUCUAAAGCAUUUCUAAUGUCUUUAUAUUUCUCACUUAGAGAGUUUAAUAAGGCAACUACUUGUUGGUCACUAGAGAUCUCCUCAUCAGAGUUAUCUAAGUCCUGAAUCAAUUUAGUGAAUUUAUCUAAAUUUUCUUCUAGGCCAGAAGAGGGAUCGAAUAUGAAAUUGUAAAAUUGCCUGAGGAGGUAACAUUUAUUAGGCAUGGACUUAGUUAAGUAAAAAGUUUCUAAUUUUGUCCAUAGAGUCUCAGCAGAAUUGGCUUCUGCAGAGGCAGUUUCUCCUACUUUUCUAAUUACAUUGUCUGAUAGAUGAAGAAAAAUAGUACUCCAUGCAAUGUCAUCUAAUUCUUUCCUCCUAUAUGCACUAAUUUCAACAGCCCAUGACCCAUCUAGGGCUGCAGCACAUCUUUGCUACAGUAAGAGGGCUCUCAUCUUCUGGCGUCAGAGAGUGAAAUCUCCAGUACCAUUCCAUGUCUCUAUGUCUAACUUAUAUGAAGUGGACAUGAUGACAAAUAUAAUUGAAUAGCAUGCAAUUAUGCAAUAUACAGUAUAAGUGAUUCAGGUAAGUAAGAUAAACAACAAGACAAUUUUAUUUUCUGAAUUUAACUACCUUAUUUACAGGCUUCACGAUUAACUAGAACACUGUCUAAAUGAAAAAAGAGGGUCAGAAUUAUAUCAUGAAACUGAAAUCUUAAAAUUCCAGUUUAGGAGUGAUCAUACUUAAGCCAGGAAGGAACCAGGUUACACUGCACACUGCACAGAUAAAUGUAUUUUCAGAACUCGGGGUCAACUCAGCAGGGAUCGAAGCGAGUCAGCUUAACUCGCCAAACUCAGUACGAGUUAGAACACCCAGUUGAAACUCAGUUGCGAUUUAACUCAACUCGCCAAACUCAGUACGAGUUAGGGCAACCAGUUGAACACAAUUAUGAGUCAACUCAGAAAAAUUCAAAAAAUAAAGGAGCAGGACUUGAGGAUCGAAUUUUUCAAUUUCAUUUACAGAAAACCAACUGAUUUCAACUAAGGAAGGGUUUCGAAUCUUUAGUUACAAGUUUUGUACGCAAUCCAACCCAGUUAACAAAAAAAAUUCAGAGUUUAAAAAAAAACUUUUUAACAAAACUUGAACCUAGGGUUCCAAAAAUAAUAGAUUUGAAAUUCGAGAGAAGAAAAAAUUAAGAAAAAAAUCAAGAAACUGGCUCUGAUACCACUGUUAUGUUUUAAAACUUAAAACAUUUGGAUCGAUCCUAGGAAAAACCAUUAAAGAACUGCAGAAAUUAAAGAAAAUUAACACAGGAUAUGUUUUGCCCUUUUAAAAGGGUCUAGUGUUCGAUUUUGCAACCUAAUCACUCGUUGAGCAUCUCUCACGAGAUUAAGCUCUAGAUCCACUAAUAACGAACAAGAACCGUGUACAAAUGUACGAAGAAAUUGGAAAUUUCUUCGAGUUUUUUCUUGCCUUUUGACACAACAACACAAAACUGCUAUCACUCUCACAUGUCGCACAAAACAACCAUUUCUCUACACAAAUAACAGAAUAUUAUCAAUCACAAAGAUCGAUUUCAUCUAACAUAGCCAAACCUUAGUUUUCACACAAAAAACGAAGGACAGAGAGUAAGACGAAGAGACACAAAGAAUUCUCUAGAAUAUGAAUGAAAAAGCCAAGACCCAGUGUGUAAGUAUCUGUAUUCAUCCAAACAAUCAGAGGGCAGAGACUUAGCCACGUGUACGGCUAAUUUUAAUUCUCGAAGAGGCGUUUUUAUCAAAACACGAUUUUAUCAAACUUGAAAUAACCACAGCAACCCGGUGGAGCAUUUGGCCCAAUUUACAGAGGCCCACGAAGCUAAGAAUCAUGUGAGACAACCCACAAAUAAUUAACAGUUAUCAAGUCUCAUAUCUUCUUCUCAACCCUGCAAUCCCACCCACUACCAAGAUGAGUAAAGGACUCAUAUCAACUUACCAGUGAUGAAGUAAUAUUACGUGGCAUUAAAUAUAAAGAUAUAAGUUUUAUAAAUAAAGUAAAAAAACAUGGCCAUGUCUACAAUUAUGAUUUCCCUCAAACUUGAGCCUUAACAUAGAAAACAUGAAGGGAUUGCAGGAAAAUCUUGGAACUCUCGCAUAGAACUUUUGUAGAUUUAUACAAUAUACACUCACCUAAAGCAGUGGUAGCAUGAGAAAUUCCUAGGUCUUUAAAGAGAAAAAUAUACUGUACCUUUUCAAAGAUAAUAAUUUAUAUAAGGAAAUAUUAUAUUUAUCUCUAUCCAUCCAAAUACUUUUUGUUGACCUCAAAAAAUGGACUAACAGAAUCCCCACCACGGCCCCUCCACAUGGACCCACCUGCACAUUGAACACUCCGUUAGAAUGCAAAGGUCAUCUGCCGAGAAAAUUUCCGACAAUCAUUUGCACUUUGACGAUUAAGUCAACGGCCCGAUGAAAAAUAAUAUGAUAGUGCAAGACACAGGAGAGGGGGUUUUGGUUAGGGUUAGAAUGAUAUAUCAUAAGUGUGAAGCGAAUCCAUAUAUAAAAAAAUUGAAUUGGGCCAAAUGAGUUUUGUGAAAUGGGCAAAGUUCAAGCCCAAAUACAAUUUUUUAAUUAAAGAAGUCCAAUCAAUUAAAUAGUCAAUGUCACGUUGGCCAAUGAAGGACAUUGCAUCACGCGUAUGCCAUGCAAUUUAUAGGCAUAACACUCUUAUCAUUUCAUUCAUGAUACUCAACAAAUCUUGUCAUUGUUUCCAUGAAAUACUAAAUGAAUUAUAUACCAGGAUAAUAAUUCUUUAUGAAACAUUGUUGCCAUGUUCUUCUCUUUAUUAACUCCUUUAAUUUCUUGCAUCUCUAUCCAUUGUUCUUUUCUUUCUCAAUAUGAAUUCUAAAUCAACCAAAGCAUUUAUCUUAAUUAUAUUAUAAUUACUUGUUAACGACCUUUCUUCUUAAUACCAAGGUUUUUCUGAUCUUUAGUUCGUUGAUCACCAAAUUAGUUCGAACUAUUUUUUUGUACUAAACAGUUUGCAAUAAAAACAACAUAUUUUGUUCAUAUCUUUUAAAUAUAUCAACUACCAUUUCUCUGUAUCAUGUUUUCUCUUCAUUUGAAAGAUUCCUCGUGUAGUAAGAAGUAGAAAACGUAGAAAAUCUACAUCACCUUCUCUGGUUGGACCUCUUUCUACUAACAGAUGUCAUCACUUACUAUCAAUAAUUCCCAUCUUCACGUAUCAUAAACGUUGAUAGAAACAUGACUCCAUGAGUUUUUUUUUUUUUUUUUUUUUCUAUGAUCUAUUUAUAGUUGUUUGUUAAGUUAUUUCUUAUUUGAGUUAUUUGCAUCCUACUAUUAUUUGUGAAAAAAAUUUCAAGAGCUUAAUUUUGACAUUGAAUCUAACUAUCUAUUUUUCUUUUUUCUUUUUUUCGUUAAAUUUGCCAUAACCUAACGAAUUUUAUGUUAGAUAUGUUUGUCCUUUACUUGUGAUAAAAAUUAAACAACUCUACCAAUGAAUAAGAAAUAAAGAUAUCACAUGAAAAUAAUCCUAUGAUUAAUCUCAAAGUAAAUAGUAAUCCAAGACUUCUCCAAAUCAAACACUACUUGUGACUCUUUUCUCGAUGAUGAUCGAGUCAAUUGAAUCCUAAAAUACAUAAAUUAAGAGCUUGAGUGAUAAUAAUCAAACAGUUAAAUAAUGAAUAACAAAUGCCAGUAUGGUAUAGCAAAUGGUAAUAAUAAAUGCUAGUCAUUUAAUAAAGAAUAUAAGCUGAGAAAAGCAUUCAAUAAAGACAUCAAAUUUGUUUCCCAUUAUUAAAAUCAAUAGUCAAUACAACAUUACAUUUGAAUAAACGAAUAUAAGAAUAAAAGAAUUAAUUUCUAUAGACAUUUUCAUGACAGAAGAAUUGAAAUAUGAAACAGUGCACACUAUUGUCAGAAUCUUGAACGCUUGCAUUCUGCAGAUAAGCCUUGAGGAAACCUUGGAACAUCAGCACAAUAAUUAUAAAUCAUGUGUUUCUGUUGUACCCAACGAAGUCUAUUUCUUCCCUUUGCAUCCAAUUCUAGAGUUUGCCAAGUCCCAGAAUUAGAGGAAUCAACAGACUUGGAAGCACAAGAUCCAACGUUCGAUCCAGAUGCACAGAUAUUGCCAUUGACAUUGAAAUUCCUGUAAGAGGCAACAAAAGGAGCUUUUGUCCAGUCAGUCUUGAUUCUUCCACCUUGUGUCGCCCAAUCGUCUGCAUUCCAUAAGCUACAGUAUACUCUCAUGGGCUGGUUUGUAGGAAAUGGAAUGCCAAUUGCCUGGUGAUUGUUGAAUACUCUGAUAGGAAUGUUGUCCGCCAAGAAACUGAAAUUCAUAACCAAGAGAAUUAUUAUUAAUUUUCUUACUGUUUGAAGAUCAAUGAAAGGGACACUUAAGGGCUUUGUAUAUUGACUUACAUGAUUCGUUGAGAAUUCCAAACGAUGGAGUAGGUGUGGUAAGCUGAUGUUGGAUCAAACCAGAGAUGGAAUUGUUGUUCCUUGUUCCCUUUUCCUUGAGAAUACACAUUGGUAUGAACAGUAUAUGGUUGUCCAGAUGCAUUGCCUAGAAACUCGAAAUCAAUUUCAUCGUGACCAGGUCCUUGAGACGCUAACUGCACAACAAAAUAAACAAACAAUUCAAUAAUGGAUAUCAAAAAAAGAGGGGUGGUGGUGAGUGAAGGAAAAAUUGAGCACUUACGAAAAAUGUGGUUACAGUUCCAGCAGAGUCUCCAGGAAUAAGCUUAAGUUGCAUAUCGAACCUUCCAAACAGGUACUCAUUCUUGGACUGAAAUCCAGAACCAGAAUAUUGGUCUAAGGAGAGCGUUAGAAGCCUGCCACCCUCCAUUAUCUUACCUCGACCAUCACCCCAGUUUAUAUCAGCAUCCCUGUAGAAGCUACCAGCAGAAGGGGUCACCAAAGAAGUCAUGACAAUAGAAACUAAAACAACUCCCAGAUUCAAUAGAAGUUUGGAAUUUGAAAAUGUUGCCAUUUUUGUAGCUGAAAAAGAAAUGUAGCUAGAGAGAAGGAGAGAAAGGGAGGAAGAGUGAAGGUGUUUUUGUUAUGAGUAAAUUUUGAAAUGGAGCCUCCAUAUAUAUAUGAUUUUGUGAGGUGGGGUGGGGUGGGGUAGGGUAACAUGGAGGUUGAUCUUGAUCAGAAGGAAGUUUCUGUGUUGAGACCGGACAGCGUAUUUGAGCUGGACAGAAUAAUUUAGUGAGUUAGCCAAUUAGCUGGUUUCAGAAAUAGAAGUUUACGCGUAAUGGUAUGACUUUUGGAAAAUUCCCUAGUUGAUAUCUGGAAUUUGUCCAAUAUUUUAAUGAAUUCUUAGUUGCUUCUCACAAUGAAAGCGCCAAAGAAGAUGCGUUUACACGUUGCUUCCUGCAGAUGGUGCUGUGUCAAGUAAGAUACUUAAAAAAUAAAGAAAAUUCAACUUCACGGUGACAUAAAUUUGCCCUUGGAUCAAGAAUUUGGCAGUGCUCGGGGACUUGCAAGAAAGGCAUUCGCCAUGUCCUCUAAUAUUUUCAAUGCUUAUUCGAGAAUUGUUAAUAUAGUUACAAACGUUUUUCGACGAGUUGAAUAGGCUAUUUAUAUGUUUUUGUUUUUGGUAUAGUUAAAGGUGUAGAUUGAGCAUUCUAAAUGUUUCGAUUUGUGCUGGGGGGCGAUCAAAUGUCGUUGGAACUUUGCUUUAUGCGACUUGAUUAUGGUACUUUGUUUCCUUUUUCAAUUGAUUAUUUAUUUCUCUUGAAAACACUUUUUAAAAAUGUUAAAUUCAUGUAACACGUUUAUACAAUCCUAGAAUUAACUAACUACUAUAAUGAAUCUUGUCUUUCUAUCGAUACAUUUUUGUACGAAUUUCCUAAAUAACGGCCAAAAUAAAACUAUCAUUUUUUUAAUGUUUUAAAAUUAGUAUUAUCAAAAUUAACUUGUGGUUCUUAUUUGAAUUGGAGAAAAAGAUGCCAAAGAGUCACAAUUUGAAGAAGAAAGGAAUUUGGUAGAAUUAUUCCUUGAUCCACCGAAUUGCAUUAGGUCAAAAAUUGAAGACAUUUUCCCUAAUGCCUCUCUCUCUCUCUCUCUUCCUACCAUUGUAUUUGACAAAAGAAAUUGAUAAAUAAUUUCGAUCUUUGAAUUAAAGUAAAUCAACGGCCCCAUCUAUUUAUCAAAAUCCUUCAUAAUCCUUACACCCAAAUCCGAUUGCACUUUAUUUACCAAUUGCAAUCUAUUUCUCCAGCUCUCUUUUUCAUUAUAAAUCUGCUAAAAUCCAUAAUUUCAUUGAUAAAAUUUCUAUUAAACAUGCCUUUAAACAAUUACGAAUGCUUUAAUGGGAAUUUUGCCAAACAAAAUUUCUUAUAGAAAAUUCCAAAGAGUCCAACCCACUGCACUUCCAUGACAGCUUUCAUGUGUGAAUUCGUGGGUUCCCAUGAAGUUUUGACCGAGCAUACGUCUGGCCAGCAUCUCAAUCAGUGGGUUAAUUGAAAUUAUUAUUGAUUGAAAGAAUCUGGCCACACUAUGUAACUCGUGAUAGAUAUAUUUGGGAUAUUUACAAGACUGAUUAUAUCUCAGUUCGAUUAAAUAUUGAAAUAUAAAAUCAAUAUAUGUGGAUUUGAACUACUUCUCUAACAAAUCUUAAUAGUUAAUAGUCAUUAGAUGAGAUUUUUUUUUUUUUUUUAUCUUGUACUAACAUUGAAUCUUUAAUCGUGCAUAACAUAACAAAAUAAAUUGUUAAAUCAAACCACUAGAGGUUGUUAAAGGCAUACUAAUAAAAUUUAGCUUGUUCGUUGACCUGUACAAAACGUCGAGUCAUUGCAUUAUCGUACCAUUCAACUGAGUUCUACCAAGAAAGAUGAUACGGUUUUCGUUUUUAUUAUUGGGAAAUGAAAAUAUGAAAUAAAAGAUGUUUUAGAAUCCCUUUCUUCUAUUUUAUUUUCUUAGUCAUUUUGUCGUUCCUAUACUUUUUAAGUAAUUUUUUGAAUUUUUUUCAUUGUUAUAUUAUUCUUAGUAGCAUAAUAUAUUAUUCUUUUUAUAAAAUUAAUAUGCUACACCGAUUUGUGCGCUCUUUUCCUCUCCAUAUCUCCAUUAUUCAUUAAAAUUUUAUAUUAAAAUCAAUUAUAUCACAUAGAUUCGUAUCAUAUUUUUAUUUCUCAAAUAUUGCAACGUGAAACCAAAAUUGUAGUUAGGGGCAAAUGAGCCUGACAAGACAUGGAAAACCCUUGUUUUGGACAAUCUUCGUUGCUUCGCUAACCCCGCGAGUUGCGAAAACUUCCUUCAGUAAGAGAGUCUUGACCCCUUUUCUUUUUCUUUUUUCUUUUUUCUUUUUUUUUUAUUCGUGUAAAGAAUUUUUCGGGAGCCACUUUAAAAUCAUGAAAACUAUGCCUAGAAGUACAAUUUAUAGCUUCCACUUAAUUAUUCAUACUUAUGAAAUUAGCAAACAACCAAUCCUCCAUUUGUUGAUUAUUCAACUGAUGGAAAUUUGUUCCUCAGGGUCUUAUUGACAAGCGAGACGUGAGACAUAAGCCUAACUUUCCACAAACAAAAGUUCAAUAAAUACAAUAAAUAGAUAGCGCGUUCGCACUAUCAAUGUAAUAAAUUAGGCCACAUGAGAGUGAAAUGCUGGAAUAUUGAAAAUUAUUAGAAACGAGUAUCCUUUCUGUUCCUUCUGCAAAUAGAAAUCAUAACAAACAAGUCUUACUCCAUCACCACCCAAUUAAGAGGUAAAAUCCUUCCAUACAUAAAAUUCAAAAAAGAAACAAUUUCUGCAGCACAAUGUUUCUUUUUCUUCAGAAAAACAAGUAUAAAUUAUUCCCAAGACUCAAAUAUUUAGUUUGUGCAAUUAAAGAAUGAAGAAAUUAACUUGGAAAAUGAUCAAAUAUCCAUGAGACAAGGUCCAAUAUUUCAUGUUCCUAGAACCUGGGAAGUCUGCAUUCCUUGGGACGUCCCUGAGGAAACCUUUUUCCAUCAGCACAGUAAUUGUAGAUCAUGUAACUCUCUUGGACCCAACGAAUCCUGUUUCUGCCAUUGGCAUCGAGUCCCUGAGUUUGCCAUGGCUGAUUGUUCAAAACUCCGUUGCAAGAAUUUCCCGAUGCGCUGACAACACAGCCGUUGGCAUUGUAGUUCCUGUAAGAGGCAGUGAAUGGCGCCUCUGUCCAGUCUGUCUUCACUCGUCCGCCUUGGGUUGCCCAGUCGUCGGCAUUCCAUAAACUUGCAUAUACUCUCAUGGCUUGAUUCUUUAAGAAUGGAACUCCAUUUGCCUCGUAGUUGUUAAAAACCCUAAUAGGGAUGUUGUCCACCAAGAAACUGAAAAAUCAAAUAAAAUUGUCACGGAUUAUAUAAGCUAGCACACAUGUUCAAUGUGGUUCACCCUCAAUAUAAAAUUUAAAUCCACUUGUAGCAACAGUUUUUCAUAGUAAGCCACUGUUUGGUCUCACCAAACACUAACAACUUUGAUUAAAAUCCAAUUCAAAAUUAGCAUUUAAUUUUAAUUACACAUUUCAUCGGAUCUACUCAUCUACAACUUUAAGUUCGAUCACAUAUUUUAUCAACUUUUAUCAAAAUCUACUAAAAUUUUGAUUUGUAUCUAAACUAAACAGGGCUAAGCCUCAAGCAUCUAAGUUUGUAGUCUUAUAGAAAACGCCUUGUUAAAUAAUCCCUUAUAAAUCUAGGAUUAUUAUGUGAUUAUUAUACGUUCAGAAUGCCUAAUAGACCAAAAAUACAUUUGUACGGUCGAGGGAAAAAGUUUACGACAUUUUUAUGAUCGAGAAAAUUUUAAGAAAAAAGAACGGCUUACAUUAUUCGCAGUGGGUUCCAGAGAAUGGUGUAGGUAUGAUAGGCUGAUGUUGGGUCGAACCAAAGGCGAAAUUGUUGUUCCCUAUCACCUUUCCCUUGGGCAUAAAUAUUAGUGUGGACUGUAUAGGGCUGACCAGAAGCAUUUCCCAAGAACUCGAAAUCUAUCUCAUCAUGGGCAGGACCAGCUGGAGAUGAUAACUGCAAAUUAAUGAAAUAAAUAUUUAGCUGCUAAAUUAUAUGACCAUCUGGUUUGAACAAAUUAAGUCAAAUUAAAUUGAUAAUUUCAUUGAUUUAAAUUUGUUGAAAAUUGUUUAAAAGGUUUUAGUUGUUAGAACAAACAUACUGUUUCGACAUAUGCUCUAAUACACUAAUACCACGUUGAACUAUCUUAUAUUUAUGUAUGCUUAUAAACAAAAAGUAAUUAUCAGACUUACGUAAAAUGUGGUGACAGUGCCAGCUGAAUUAUUAGGUAUAAGCUUGAGCUUCACGUCAAAUCUUCCAUAUAGACACUCAUUUUUGGACUGAAAUCCCGAGCCCGAACUAUUAUCAAGGGACAAUGUGAGAACUUGGCCACCAUCGAGUAUUUGAGCGCGUGGACCACCAAAAUUGAUAUCGACAUCUUGGAAGAAGUUACCGGCCAUGGCGGCUAACAAAAAAGUCAUGAAUAUUGAGAGCCUAAGAGCCCUAGCACAAUUCGAGAACGACAUUUUUAGGGUUUAUAGAGAAAGAAGGAAAUCUUGAGACAGAAGGAAUUGUUUGUUUGAUAUUUUGUGAUCAAGGCUUUAUAUAGGUAACAUAAAGCUAGACAUAGUUGACAUGUAACAAAGGAGUUUCCGAGGAAGGGAGAUUAUAAAUAACUGUAUACAGCUAAGUUUGAUGGAUGCACAUUUGGUGGUAGCGAAUAGUUAAGACAUCAGAGGUUGACAUAUCCUCUUUAACGCGUUCUUGAUUUUAAUUUGAAAAUGUUUUUAAUUAUUCGGUUUAAAUUAAUUUUUGACUAUUAUUUUUCUGUUUUCUUCGGACGAAUGUACAUUAAUUGACGUGGCGAAAGCUUAUAGGAAACAAUAUUUCAUGAAAAUUCAAACUUGUUAAUUCGUUCAUGGAUGUCAAAAAAAAAAAAAGAAUAAUGAAAGAAACUUCUCAAAAAAUUUAUUAAAUAAAAUCAAAUUCAAUUGAUAUUUAAAGAAAUAAUCAAAUUUUGAAUAACAACUAAACUCUAGGAAAUGACGAAAAUUAAAAUUAUUAAUGUUCAGAAUUAAUCCACAAUAAACGAAAUAAAAAAUCAAAUUUACUAAAUAUAACAAAAUUAUCCAGAGAACCGAAAAACGCAUUUUUUACUUUUUUUCGAAAACAAAUACCCCGAAAAAUUAUUUCUUUUGACACUGCUUCCUUUUCCAUACAAUCUUAUUCUUUCUAUACCACGUCAUUAAUCCAAGAUAUGCAAACAAAACUUACAAUUUUUAACACUAAAAAGAAGUCAAAUUAAUAUAAUUUAUUAUACUACUUAAUAUUGUCCUACAUUAUAAAUAUCGAAUUGGAAUCGAAACACCUCGGAAAGUUUUAAGCAUAAGCACAAAAAUGGUGCAUCUUUAAAAGGAAAUAAUGCAGAAAUCAAAAGUUAUACGACGGUAGAUUGAAAAAUGAUGUACAAAUUCUUUAAUUUUGUCUAAUCCAAUAAAUAAAUAAAAUAAAAUAUAAAAAAUAAAGUCUAGAAUGACUAAUCUUAAUGUUGCCGGUUUAAUUUUUAUUUUAUUUUUUCCUCCUGUGGUCGUUAGAUAUGAAGCGGUCAAACUUGAUUUCGUUGGUGGAUUCCAAUCAUUUCCAGAACAUAAAAUUUGUCAUUGUGUUCUAGGCACGAUCGAACCUUACACCAGUUGCUUUGGUGGUUUUGUCACGUCUUUUUAUCUUUAUUUUAUUUGCUUAUAUCCCCUUUGCAAAUUUCAUAAAGCUUAUAUAUAUAUAUAUAUAUAUAUAUAAACUGAACCUAAUUUCCAAUUCUCACGAUUUAAUAUUACAUAUCUCGAUGUAAAUAGAUAUUUACUCGACACAACGAAUUGUAUGGACUGAUGGACACAUUGCAACUACAAAAGAUAUUAAAAUUUUGAAAAGUGAAUAAAUAUUUAAGUUUAAGAAGAUUCUCUACAUUAGGUCAAAUCUAUAUUAUUUAAUUUGAGAAGAAAUUUUUAAAAGGAGCUAGGUUAGCAUUGGUGAUGAUCUAAUAGCAAUGGGGUUAAUUUCACAAACGGUCACUGAACUUACAGAAAAAUUGCAAAACGGUCACUAAAGUAACGAUCAAUUAAGUAUUGGGAUGUUUUCAAAAAUGGUCACUAAAGUUUAAAAAUUUUUGAGUUAUUUUUACGGUAAUUUUUAGACCACUUCCGACCAUCGAUACCAUCGGAUUUUGAUACCGUUGGAAAGCCUACAAUGUCCUCUUCAAUUACAACAAAAAAUCUCCCCAAAAUUUCAAAGGAUUCGGUUGGAAUAAACCCACAAAAUUGGCUACCCGAAAAGGCAAAAAUCUGCCCAAAUUUUUAGAUUUUUGGUAGACUUUUGUGGCGAUUUUUUGACAACUUCCGACCACCAAAAUAGUCUGAUUUUGAUAUAUUGGAAAACCCACAAUGUCCUCUUUAAUUAGCACCCAAAAUCUCCUCAAAACUCCAAAGGAUUCGAUCGGAAUAAACUCACAAAGUUGGCAUCCCAGAUUUUCGCCUUUUUGGGACGCCGACUUUGCGGGUUUAUUCCGGCCGAAUCCUUUGGAGUUUGGGAGAGAUUUUGAAUGGUAAUUGAAGAGAAUAUUGUGGGCUUUCUAACGGUAACAAAAUUCGGCAAUCUUGGUGGUCGAAAGUCGUUGGAAAAUUGCCGUAAAAGUCGCCCAAGGCAGAUUUUUAGAUUUUUUGGGGCGAAUUUUGCGGUGAUUUUUCUAUCAAAUUCCUUGGUGUUACGGAGAGAUUUUGAGUGGUAAUUGAAGAGGACGUUGUGGGCUUUCCAACGGUAUCAAAUCCGAUGAUAUCGAUGGUUGGAAGUAGCUGAAAAAUUGCCGCAAAUGUAACAAAAAAAUUUUAAAAAGUGUUUUUCAACUUCAUUGACCGUUUCAGAAACUUUUUAAACUUCAGUGACCGUUUUUGAAAGCGUCCCAAUACUUAAGUGACCGUUAUUGAAAGUUUUAAAUUUCAGUGACCGUUUGUGAAAUUAACCCAAUAACAAUAUAUAAAAUAUAAGAAUAAUUAUAUAUAUGUAAGAUAUGUGUCUGUACGUAAUUACGAGAGUACAGUAGGAAUAAAAAUAUAGUUGUCUGUGUAUGUAAAUAAAGAAAAAAUGAUGAAGUUGGGUAUGCUACAAAAAAAUGUAGGUUGUUAUAAGACACUUUCAUUGACCAAAUAACAGUUCGUAAUAUUUUUGAUUGAUCAAGAGAUCCUAAUUUUUAUUCUUUUAGCGACCAAAAAUUAGUUGUUGAUGGCCGAUUUCAUCAACCAAGCAAUAUGUUGUCAUUGAAAACCUCAGCAGGAAGAAACUUCGCCUUUUUUUUUUUUUUUGUGCGCGCGCGCUUGUUAUAAGGGUUUUAGUGACCAAAUAGUGACUGGUAACGAAAGGCUUGGCAAGAAUGAUGAUGUAAAGACCAAUUAUUAGUCACUAAUGUCUGAAUAUUGCUAUUUAUAGUCAAUGAUCGCAGUAAUCAUCUUAUCUGGUAACUUCUUGUUUGAGGCAUUAAUUUCAUUUAGUUGUGUUGCCUCGAAUAACAAGCUGUCACAUAAAAAUGACUAUUGCUAUCAAUCAAUGCAUCAAACAAUAAACUACUACAUAAAAAUGACUACUACAAUCGCUAACUACAUAUAGCCAUAGCCGGUCUUGAGGCGAGGCAAAUGAGGCCCUCGCCUCAGGCCCAAUACCAUAUGGGGCCUCAUUUUAGGCCCCCCCCCCACCCAACCCAAUUUUUCUUUCUUCAAAACAAGGCCAAAAAGCUCAAAUGAUUUGAUGUAAAUUUAUUGAAGACAAGAUCUAAAAUGGUUAAAUUUGGAGUUUUUUCUUGGAAAUGGUGUGGGAUUUGAUGAAUUUUAUAAAUGGGUGUCUAUAAAUAUUUAUGUUGUUGUCUUAUUUUUGUACAAAAAUUUUGUGAAGAUAGAUAUUUAUGUGAUUGUAUUUGUUGAAUCUAUGUCGUUGUCUUAUUUUUGUACAAAAACUUUGCGAAGAUAUUACUACAUUUUAAAUUCUUUCAUUCUAGAUCUGCUUUAAAAGGGACAAAAAGUCGUAUUUUAAUAUAUAUGUAUAUUUUUGUUUAAUUUUAGUUGAUAAUAAGUUUUUAAUCAAUUGUGUCGAUUUCAUGAUCUGCACUUCCACACUUGGCACAAGUUCUUUCACUCUAUAAUUAAAUCUUUGGUAUUGUUAUUUUAUAAUAUAAAUCAUUUCUAUAAUAUAUUUGGUUGUUGUUUAAAUGUUAGUUUUAAGUUAGCAAUAUGUCACAUAAUACAGUGUUAAAUUUUGCAUUUACGUAGAUUUCGCCGAGGCCUAAUUUGUGGAAUUCGCCUUGGGCCCCCGACAAUUAUAGGACUGGCCCUGCAUAUAGGGUUACUCCUAAUAUCUUGUCUUAGCAAACAACCAUGGAUUGGUAACUAAAAACUGGUUUGUGAUUGGGGUUUGUAAAAAAAAUAAAUAAAUAAAUUCAACUUUCCAAUUAUAUAUUUCACUAAACCCGUGUUUAGACUCAAUUAAUUUUAAAAUGCAUUUUUCAUUUUCUUUUUGACAACCACACAUAUUCUAAUAAAUUAUUAUUACACGUAAAUUUAAAGUUUUUCUCCCCUUUUAACCACAUAUUCUUUAAAAAUCACUAUUGCAAAAUACCUUUUUUUUUUUUCCUUCAAAAACUAAUUAUAAUGAAACUCAAAUGGGUACUAAAUAUUAUCAAAAUCUAUUUAAAAAGCUGAUUUUUAGUCAAAUAAAAAAGGGGCUAUAUCACAUCUUAUAACUGACAACUCAACUAAUAUUUAAUAAUUCUGAUUAUCAGAGAGUUAGGUACACAGUAACACAGUUGACAUGGAGCGUAGUAACUUACUAAAUGUAGGAAUUCCAAAAUUUUCGUCCUAUUUCCUUUUAAUCCGGAUCUAUGUUUUAACUUUGCAAUAUUUAACAAAAUUAGUCAAAGUUAAACGUGCAUUACACAUUAUUCUAAAAUAUUUUAUAAGCGAUUUAGAUGUAAUAUUUGGUACCAAUUUGUUAGAAUGAGUCUUGGACGAAUGAAAGAAAAUAAAAUUUAACAUAAAAAUUUAAGAGAAGAAAAUUGUGCCCUCAAAAUUCAAUUUUCAUGAUUCAAAUUUUUUGUAAUGAUAAAAUAGUAUAAAUGAGCAAUCUUUUUAUAUUAUAUUUGAUAAAUAAAAAUUAAUUGUUAGUACAUAAAUUUAAACAAAUAUUAAAAUUUUUAGAUAUAUGAAUAUGAAUAAACUCAUCUAUAAUAACCUAGAUUCAUGUAAUUCAAGAUUUAUCAAAUGAAAUCUAGGUUAAUGUGAAUGUUAAUUAAUUGAGAAUUAAUAACACAAAUUUUAUAAAUGACAAUAAUUAUGUCGUAUUUAUUACAUAUCGAAAAAUGAAAAAUAAGGUAUUAUUGAAAUAUUUGAAUUGUAGGAAGAUUAAAAUCGCCCAAAAAAUGAUAGAUAUCAUAUGGAUUAAUAUUUAUCAACGGACUCCCCUAGUUUUGCUCUGUUUGUGAAAUCUGCCAAAUGGCUAAUGAACUUUAUUAGGCUUUAUUUGGGAUUUACAUUUUCUUAUUGGGCUGGGCAUAGGCCGUAGGAUCUAAAUCCAUAUAAAACAAUAACACAACAAUUGACAUUAUUAGCAUCAAGAAGAAAAUACAAGAAAAUGGCCUCUCUUGAAAACCCAGCCCCAUCUUCUCUGUUUCAUUAAUUUUACCAAAAAAUAAAAAAAUACUAGAAAAAUCUAUGUGCCAACCGAUUAUGCAGUCCACUUCAAUUGCUCCGUGGCAUACUUGCUACUACUAUCCUGUCCCUAAACAUUUAUUCUCCCCAAAUCUCCACCUCCAAAACCAGAAGAAUCUCUCUGUAAAACCUUCAAAAAAACUCCGCAUAAACAAUAGUUUCUUCACUUUUACUGCAACAAACAGUUGCAGUGAAGAUCAAGAAAAGAAUCAGAAUCCUUAUCCAAGAAAAGACCCAGAUGAAGAUAACCCCAAAUCUUGCCAAGGUUUUUGCUCUUCCAUUGAAAACCCAAAAACCAAAUUCAGAGAGAGUGAAAGGGAACCAGAAAGUGAGGUAGAUAAUUUUUUGGACAUUUCAUCAAACAUGUGGUGGACAGAUUUCAAAGCUUUCUUAGGGCAAAGAAUUAAUUUGGAAGGCCUUGCUUCUUCUGUGGGAAUUUUGUCAAAAGACAAGCACUUGGCAAUCCCACAUGUUUCUGUUCCUGAUAUACGGUACAUUGAUUGGAGUGAAUUGAAGAAAAGAGGAUUUAAAGGCGUGGUCUUUGAUAAGGAUAAUACUGUUACUCUUCCUUACUCUUUGAGCUUGUGGGAGCCCCUUGGAUCAUCCAUAGAGCAAUGUAAAUCGAUGUUUGGUAAUGAUAUUGCAGUGUUCAGUAACUCUGCCGGUAAUUUUGAUCAAACCUAUUUAUAUUUUUUUGGCUAAUUUCAUUGUUUUGAAGGGUUGUUAGUUUUGUUUGAUCAAUUUUCUGCUGGUUUUCCAUCAUAUUGUAAAUUUUUAGGACUAUACGAGUAUGACCCGGAUGGUACGAAAGCUAAAGCUCUUGAGGAUGCAAUCGGGAUAAAGGUGAUUAGGCAUAGUAAGUUCAUUUCAUCAGCUAAAAAGCUGUCAUUUAACUAUAUUAUUCCUCGAAUUUCAUGUAUCAUGGGUAGCAUUUGAUAUCGAUCAAGAUGACGGGGCAGUGCCUAUAUUUGGACAUUGGAAAAGUAGUAAUUAAUGUUGUGUGUGUUUGCUUCGAUUAUUUAUCUAAUCCAGGGAAUAAGAAGCCAGCUGGAACUGCCGAAGAAAUUGAAAAGCACUUUGGUUCUGAGUCUUCUAGACUGAUCAUGGUAAUGAAUUCCAUAUAGAAGAUUAAUCAUAUGCUCUUGUUCCUUUUCCUUUUUUCCUGUUUUUGUUUAAUAAUUUCAUUGCACAAUAAACUGGUAAUGUAAAUGGUAGGUGGGUGAUCGGCCCUUCACGGAUAUUGUUUAUGGAAACAGAAAUGGUUUUUUCACGAUAUUGACUGAACCACUUUGUCUUGAGGGGGAGCCUUUAAUCGUACAGCAGGUUGGUUUUUCUGAACUUUUUUCUGUCAGUACUGUCUAAGCAAACCUCUUCUUCCUUUAGUAGAGUAACAUUAAACAUAAAAAGAAAUGUUAACUGUGAGUUGAAGAUUGCUGAGACUUUAUGUUGAUGUCUUCUUGUUACAAAAUCAUUUAGUCGCCUAUCUCAAGAUGAUUGCAAAGUAAUGAGGAACUCAUUUUUCGUUGCAUAACUACAGUCUUGGAACCUCAAUAUUUAUAUGUUGUGUGAAAAUUGAAGUUGUUCGAGUGUCCAGGGCCAUACAUAAGCUUGGACUAGAGUUUGGGCUUCUGUAUGUUGCUUGAGCUUUUGUUAUAUCCCCUCAUUGCUCCACCUUACCAAAUUUUAUAGGUCUAUUACCAGUAAUUCUGAAUCGUAGAAUUAUCCUAGUCGGCUUUGAAAGAUUCUGAAGUGGUGUCUUGCUUACUUAACGGUCGACCAGAAAAAGAGACUUGCGUAAUCUCAUUGAGGAUCUUGUGAUAAUUGUUUCUAGUUUUCCGAUUGCUAAAUGUGUUGUUUAUAGGUCUGAUUCUUCCAAGCAUACUAUAACUUCUUGAAAAGAUUACGUUUAUAUAUGCUGCUAGAAUUAUCAUGUAUCCCAAUAUGUAUAAAUGAAAGAAAUGGAUGGGAGACACUAGUUGCAACAAAAUUGAAAUGGAAGAUCUAAGAAGGAUAGUUGCCUAGCUAAAAAUUAAUAAAAUAACUGUAAGGUUCUAGGAAAGAUUAAUUAAACUAAAUAAAAAAGUCAUCUGCAAACAGUUGUUAUUAAUUAUUAUUUCCUGAUCUUAUGCUCUAUAGAUAUUAUUGGACCUUAAAUAUAGUUAUAAUGAGAAACAGAUUGAAGAUAAAAUUAGGGACGCUGACUUAGGUAGUUGGAGGCUUGGAGCAUGUCUUACAUAGGCCUAAUGAAACUUUUAUUCACAAGUGCCGAGACAGAUUGUGUCCUAGAUCCUAAUAGAACAAGUUAAAAGAAUUUGAGACCAACAGGUCAGCAUGGUUUAUGUGGUUACGUAGAAUUUGAUUUAGGGGAUUUUUGAUGGAUUGAAUGAAGUGAUAGAAAAUGAUUCAAGCAGCCAACUUCCAAUCAACUAUGAAUAUGUAUGUCAGAAUUUUGUUGUAGAAACAGAUUGAAAUUCUGUUUAUCCUGGGAACUAUUGCAUUUUCUUGUGCAUGUGGAGAAUCAAGGCAUUGAAGUAGAGCUUUAAGUUCUCCAUUUUACAGAAUCCGUGCUGAUAUGAGAAAGCAAAAUCUUUGCAGGUGAGGUUUCUUGAACUGGCCCUUGUGAACCGAUGGACUGGAAAAGGUUUGAGGGCAAUCGAUCACAGGCUUCUUCCAGAUCCCCGGCAAUGUGUAAAAGAUAUACCACUCUGACAAAUGUCAUUAUGUAUAAGAAAAAAAAACAAUUUUUCCUAGGCAAGUAUCUAUUAUUCUUUUGCAUGUGGCCGUUAAUUGACUACAUUUUGCAAUAUUUUUUUCAUUCAUGAUACAGUUGAAAACAAUGCAGAACUUACUUGAAAUGGUGCAUCAGAACUGCUUUUUGUAGUUUGUUCCAAAGUUCCACAAUUUGUGUUCAUUUGUGCAUCAGUGUUGUGUUGUUGGAAAAUUUAGAAAGAAACGAAGAAGAAGAUGAAAAACGAUUAAAGAAUAAUUUGAUAUUGAAGAAGACUUGAACGCGUAUAAAAGUUGUCCUAAAACGAUAUUUGCCUCAUUUUCUAAUUGCUUUAAGGAUUUUCGGCAUAUAGUUGAAGGAUUAAACAAGCUUAAGAUGAAGGACAUCAAAGCAAAAGGAAUAUCUUCAAAUUGAACAAAUUGAAAAUCAAGAAAUGAAUAUGUAGAGAGAAUAAUGAAUUUUCUCAAUAACUUGGAUGAUAAGGGAAUGAUUAUUUUAUUUUUAUGUAUUUAGGGAAGAAUAUUAUGAUGUAUUUAUGAUCUCCAAUCAUCCCUAUACGAAUUUGUACCACCUUUACGUGAAAAGAUGCAAGAAAUCAAUCAAAGGACACCACUUUUGAAAUUGAAAAAUCUGCCAAUGGGUAGAAAUCUCAACUAUGCAGCUGGAAAAAAAAAAAAAAUAAUAAUAAUAAUAAUAAUAUAAAGGUUGAACCCCAAUCUUGAGGGUCCCCAAUGCCCCAUCUUUAAAGCUUUGUGAAGAAGGUAAUCACGGGAUGUGCCCCAACAGGCCAAGGAACAAGAGUUGUCUGUACACUGCACCUACAAAGAGUUUAAUUCCACAUCUCAUGAUUCAAACCCCUACAUUGCGACUGCUAGCGAGGCGUAAGAUAACCUCACUCAUGUCCUUUACACUAUUAUACUAUGCCCCCGAGGGACAAUAAUAAUAAUAAUAUAUUUGCAUGGUUAGAUGCAGCCGCACAAGUCACUAGGCCAAUUUUUAGCCUAUAUUUUUUCCCUUUUUUUCGAUUUUUUCAUCCAAAUUCAAUUUUGAAACAAGAUUUCAACAUAUGUUAUAUCUCAUGCUAUGUUGAAAAUAGUCUAAAAUUCUCCUCAUUUAUUGCUUGAUAAAUAUAGAUUAACGUCUUUUAUCCUUUUGAUUCUUCUCCAAUCCUGAGAAUGAAUAAGUCAUCUGUCAUCUCUGGUUAUGUAAAUCUAUUUUCUACGAUUCCACACACGUCUUCUCAACGAUAGACAAGGACUCUAUCGACUGUAAUUUUUGUGCUGAACUUUGGAAGUUGUGGUUCAACAUACCACUAUGUUAGAAGGAAAAGUGACCCACUUUUGACCCAAACCGAGUUUUUUCCGAAGAACAAAGUAGGUUUUUCUUUCAUUUUUUUUCCUCGCUCUCUUAGCAUUGCUUCAUACUAAAUGCAUAUCUAACUUCUUGUAUUUGAUGUGUAGGCGUGCCUGAUUGCCUUGUAUAUGUCAUACAUAUUCACAACUAGUCGUUUCGAAUGUUUGAUAAGGUAGUCUAAAAAUUAGUGACAAUAUUAAGAUAAGAGAUUAGAAAUUUAUACAACCUAUUCAUGUACUAUGUAUCAACCAUGUCCUCGAUUUUCAGUCUUGAAAAGGAAGAACUUAGAUAAGUUUUUGGUGAAUUUUUGUUUCCAAACGUGCACUAAUGAUAAAAAAAAUAAAAAAUAAAUAAAUAAAGACUCAUUAUCAAUAAAUCAUAAUUCAAUGAUUUUUGAAGUCUACAUCGUUAUUUAUCCAUCACUAAAAACCUAAUUCGUCUUGACGUUUGGUUUUGCAAGCUCAUAACGCUAUUAUAUUGUUCAAUCUUAUUUAAUACUGCGUAUUAAAGACAUUCAGCGUGUCCGCUGAUUCCCCUUAUGUGAAUUGAAUGGACAACUCAAGAAAAUGAAAAUGGGUUCAGAUAACUUUAAUGUUUCUAUGUACCAAUCCACCAAAUGUAGAACAGCUUGGCUCUACUGUGUAACUACUGCUAGCUGUCUCUCUGACAAACAAUAAGAAGAUAAAUUUUUUGAGAUUUUGCGGGGGAUGAAAAGUCCAGAAUCCAAAGGGCGUGCAUAAUAGAAUUGCUGGUGCCUCAUUUACUAUCAGAAUUUAUUGUCACACUCUAUUAUUUAUAUGAUACUUCACCUACUUUUCUGCCUUUCUCAUUAGUGAAAUUAAUUUCUAUUAACCUAUGCAUCAUUUCUUUCGAACCACCGACUGCAUCUGCAUAAGAGCCUAAAAUUCCCGAGCAAUGUUAGCACUACCGAUGCUUAGCGAUAAUAAGCCCUGUAUCCUACCAUAGAUCUUAUUUGAUUCUCAUUUUUUUUUUAAUAUAUUUUUCUCUUUCUUCUUUUCAAUCACACAUUUUUCAAUAAAAUAAUAAUACACGUAAAUCCAAAAUUUUUCCUUAUUUUUUAACCACACAUAUAAUUAAUUGCAUUUUUUCAAUUUCAUAGGAUCACUACUACUUAGACUCGUGAUAAGCGCCUAUGAUGCUUAGGUAUGGAUAAAUUAUCUGCUUAAUCGACCAAACAGUCAAAUUAAACCGACUUGCAUUGGUUGGAGGGAUGUUGGUUAGGUCGGUUUGCCUGGACGGUUGGACCAACCCAUAAACCUGGGUUUGAGGAGUCGAAUUUAGAAAAAAAAAAAUGAAUUUCAAGGAAAAAAUAUCCUUGAACCCACAACAAACUAACUUGAAUUGGUUUGGAUUGGGUUAUUUUUCUUGUUGGUUCAGUUUCGGGUUAAGAUUUCUUCCAUCCUAAACUGUCAGUUUGCUUGUCGGGUUGGGUCCAAACUUGACUCAUGCCCACCCCUACUGGUCCUACAUACCAUUAUUCAAAAUUCAGGGUUAGGCUGAGUCGGUUUGGUUUGUCGAGUUUAAGGUGAUUUUUCUUCGAAAAUUAAUUUUUUUUGUAAAACAAAUCCCUCAAACAGAGCCAACAUCCCUCCAAAUCGACCCGACUCUUGGGUCAGUUUGACAAUUUAGGUGAGUUAGGCGAGUAAUUUGCCCAUCCUAAUUAUAUGAAAAUUUUCAAAAGUGCUAGCAUUUAGAGUUCGUAUAGAUUUCAAUACCCAAUACUCAAAGAAAACUCAAAACUCCUGUUUGGUGGCCAUUAUUUCGAAAAAAAUAAUGUUCUGAAUAAUGAUUUUUAGGAAAAUAUUUGGUUAAAAUCUAUGAAAACUUUAGAUACUUAUAGCAUCAAUUAAGAUUGGUGUACAAAACUUUUUUUGACAGAAUGUGUACAACCUCUCAUAAAGGUAUGAAUCCCACACGAAUAAAUAAUGUUAAAAAAAUUAACCCACCCUCCUCCCCCCACCCCGAUGUGAGGUGUUGGUAAGAGUUCUGUAAACCCUUAAUCUGUACACCUAUCAUCACCAAUUAUAGCAUAGUCCUUGCAAUAUGGAUAAUUCCCUCAGUACGUGGAACGGUUGACAAGGUUUUUACAUUGUGUUGGAAGCACAUGUAUGGUCUCCUUUUUCAUUUUUUCCCCCCAUCUUCCAAUGAAACUAUGCCAUGUGUUAUAAGUCAAAAAAAUCUGUGAAAACUUUCUGUAUUUAUAGUAUUGUCUUUGCAAUAUGGAAAACUCCCUAUGUUUGGGUGUAGUUAGAUUUGGGUCGAUUUCAACUCCAACACGAGAUCAAAACCAAAUUAAACAGUUUGGAUGAAUUUCAAUCCAAAUCAACUCAUUUUAUCUCUUAAACUGAACCAAAUCGAUUUGGUUUGGUUUGAUUCGAUUAAUCAAUUUGGACUUUUAGUCCAAAUUGAAUUUUUUUAAAAAAAUUGUCCGAGUUUUGGCCCACUUAAAUUAUAAGAACUAAAAUAACUAAAUAAUUUAAUAUUACAAGAACUUUUGACUAAAAAUAAAUUCUGAUUAAUAGAGACAGAUCGACGAAAAAAUUAAAAAUUUUGUUUCUUUUUUAUGUAUUAUGUAAUAUGAUUACUUAAGUAGGAAAAAAUACUAAGUACAUUAUAAUGAGCUUGUAAAAGAAAAUUUUCACUGUUAUUAUUUAUCGACAAUAUCAUAAAUUGGAGGGAAUCUAGAUAUAGUUAUGAGAUUAUGGCUUAUCUUUUGAUUUUUACUUUUUUAAAUUUAAAAAAAAAAAAAAGAAAAAAGAAAAAAGGCAAACAUGUAGUUGGAUUGGGUUGAUUCGAUUAACCAACGAUUUGAAACUUCAAACCAUAACCGAACCGAUUCACAUUGGCUUUGUUUAAAAGAAAAUCAAAUCAAACUAAUUAUAUGUAUCAAACCGACCCGAACCAAUGGUUUUGUUUGAUUGGUUUGAUUGAUUUUUUAAUUUUUUUGCCCAAGCUUAAGUACAGGGAAUGGUUGGCAGGGAUUUUACAAUUGAUAUGUCGAUAACACCUGUAUGGUCCUUUUUUUUUUUUUUUUUUUUCCAUCUUCCAAUGGAGCUGUGCCAUAUUUUAUUUUAAAAAAAUUGUGAAAACUUCUAUACUUUUAGCAUAGUCCUUGCAACCUGGAUAAUUCUCUGAGUACUGGGAAUGGUUGACAGAAUUUUUAUAGGUGAUGUGUUGACGGCACCUAUAUAGUCCUUUUUUUUUCUUUUUUCUCAUUUUCCAAUGAAACUGUCAUGUGUUAUUUGUCAAAAAAAUAUGUGAAAACUUUCUAUACAUAUAGUAUUGUCCUUACAAUAUGGAUAAUUCCCUUAGUACAGAGAAUGAUUAACAGGGUUUUUACAGGUGUUAUGUUGGCAGCACCUGUAUNNNNNNNNNNNNNNNNNNNNNNNNNNNNNNNNNNNNNNNNNNNNNGAUUCCCCCCCCCCCCCCCCCCCCUUUUUUUUGCUCUUUUUUCCAUCCUCCAAUGAGAAUAUGUCAGGUGUUAUCUGUCAAAAAGGUUUUCACUACUAGCAAAUACAUAUGGAAAUAAAAUGGAAUUUGUCUUCUAGUAAAUAUUUGACUUUAAUUAUAAAAUAUAAAGAAUAUGUGAAUCUAUAUAUCGUCGCACCAAAAUAUAUAGGUUUGUUAACACAUUGUAAAAAGACACAGCUGGUAAUGACAUUGCACCUCAUCAAUACGAUGAGUACAAAUGGUGCAAAUUUUCACAGGUUCAAAACAACGUGACAUUACAUGUUCUUGCUCCUUAAUAAUUUUCUCGAUUUGUAAACAAUCAUGUUUUAUCUAUACAUUUCGAGGGAUCCCAAGUAGUAUCUACUUAUCCAUUAGUAUUUAUAAACACUUCCAAAACAUGUUUGACGUGGAAGCUUAAUGUGGCAUGGACAAAAACCACUCAAAAGAAAGUUGGUUUAAAUUUUUUAAGCAAUUUCAAUUCCACCCAUGCCUAUAAAAUUGUGCAUAUAUUCAAAUCUUAAAGAACAAAAACAAACAUGGAGAGAUGUUCCUUUGAGAGACCACAUAUAUUAUACAUUGUGAGAUAUAAAGUAGAUUUAAAUGCACCUGCAAUAAUUCCAACUAACCACACACUUCUUCACCUGUUUAUAUUUACUUCAGUGUCUGAUAAACUCUUUAUAUACAUAGCUCCAUCCCUUUGGAUAAUUCUCAGAACUCACACUCUUUCUUCUCUCAUUUUUGCUCGUUUCUUUUGUGAUUAAGCAAAGGAAAAUGGAGCAGAAGAGAAAUAAGCAUGCUCCAGUGCUCUUGUGGGCUAUUAUGGCUGCAUUGGUUGCUCAAAUUUUAGUCAUUCCCGUUGUGUCUUCAGCCACAUUCGAGGAUCAAAAGACCUAUUACUCUCCGGACCCAACGACCGGAACUCCACCCACAGGUCCUUAGUUUUCCUUUUUUUCUUUCAUUUUUUUUUUUUUUGGGGGAACCAGUAGGAGCACCUAAUAUCUUUAUUUGUAAAGCAGGUUUUCACACUCCUCCAUCACAUGGUGGCGGCCAUAGGACCCCGACACCUUCUCAUGGAGGAGGAAGCUAUGGCGGCACGCCACCAGCUUGCAACUGCGGGAACCCACCAAAUGGAGGGCACCACCAUACUACUCCUUCUCCUCCCACCGGAGGUGGUGGUGGGUACUAUAACCCCCCUCCAAGCUCUAGCCCAACUACACCCACUAUUGUGAGUCCACCCACCAUUUUAAGUCCUCCAACCACUCCAAUCGACCCUGGAACUUCCAGUCCUCCAAUCUACCCCGGAACUCCAUCGAUUCCAUCACCUCCAUCUGGAGGAGGAAGCUAUGGCUGCACGCCACCAGCUGGAAACUGCGGAAACCCCCCAAGUGGAGGGCACCACCAUACUACUCCUUCUCCUCCCACCGGAGGUGGUGGUGGGUACUAUACCCCCCCUCCAAGCUCUACCCCAACUACACCCACCAUUGGGAGUCCACCCACCAUUUUAAGUCCUCCAACCACUCCAAUCGACCCUGGAACUUCCAUUCCUCCAAUCUACCCCGGAACUCCAUCGAUUCCAUCACCUCCAUCUGGAGGAGGAAGCUAUGGCUGCACGCCACCAGCUGGAAACUGCGGAAACCCCCCAAGUGGAGGGCACCACCAUACUACUCCUUCUCCUCCCACCGGAGGUGGUGGUGGGUACUAUACCCCCCCUCCAAGCUCUACCCCAACUACACCC